rnacentral:lncRNA from 1 species
UAAUCUUCCUCCGUCCGUUCUUCCCUUCCAUUCUUGCGGUGUUUCUCGGCGCUCGUUUUGGGUCCCUGUUCUUCUGAUUCUGCUUCGUGUUUCGAUUUCUCGAGCUUCUUUCUCCAGUGGGCUCGUCAACGCUGCUGAACAGGGAGUGCUAUGGUGUCGUCUGUUCUUACCUUCCAUUCUUGCGGUGUUUCUCGGCGCUCGUUUUGGGUCCCUGUUCUUCUGAUUCUGCUUCGUGUUUCAAUUUCUCGAGCUUCUUUCUCCAAUGGGCUCGUCAACGCUGCUGAACAGGGAGAGCUAUGGCGGGUGGUUGCUUCGCAACCACGCCGCCCCCUGUUAGCUCCGACUAGCCCGCAGGUUCUCUGCGGGCCCCCCUGCUGGCGUGCGAGCCCCGACACGAAAUCCCGAUGGUCUCAUAGUACGGGCUUGUGCUUCUGCGACGCGGUGCCUCGUUGCGCCGCCCGCUGUUCCUCUCGCAAGUCCGCCUCCAUAUACCAUUACAUCACUUCAGCUUUCUGAUUCAAUCAAUAUCGUCGAGGCGCGUCUUCUGUGAAGUUCUCUGUUCCGAAUUUGUGGGAGGUGUUGAGCUUCUCCAAUGCCGAUCCCCUGCAACUCCUCUGUUGUUGGUAGCUUUCGGUGUGAUCGAGGCUUCCGCGAGUUAGAUCGUUCGCCGGGUUCCAAAUCGCUAAUCACCGUGUCUGUGCGAUUCAGCAGCGAGCCAGAUCGAUUCGCCAGUCUUCCGUGGAGAUCGGAUGUAUCCUCGAUGCGCGGAGUGAUAUCGAUUCAUUAAGUUCGUCGUUCUCGGAUUUCGUCAAUUAAAUUGCUCUUCAAAUCUGAGAUGAUCGUUCUGAAUUCCCCCAUUUUUCUGAACCAGAUCCAUAAUUUUUCUCAUCCGUAGCCAUCUCUGCCCGAUCGAAACUCCUUCACGGGAAUUCUUGGCUGGCUUCAACGAGCAUGCUCAGUACGCGACCGCGAUUAUUCCUGGCGUUAUUAUCACAUAAUAUAUCGAUGAAAGUUUCUCUUCGCCCAUAAAAAUUGGACUAAUCGUCGAAGUCAAAGCGUUUGGAAGAGUUUAUAUGGGUUGCAUGUACAUAUUCAUCUUGAAUAAAACCUGGUCUGAUUGGAUGAGUUCCAUUGAAACCCAUGAAAAAUGCUCUUACUAAUUAUAUAAUAAAUUGGAUGUCGUCGGUUUGAUGGGAAAUUUUCUGGCAUUUGGAGUGUGGUAAUCUCAAGAUUUUGAGGAGCCCAUCUGGUUCUUGUUGGGUCGUCUGGUUAGGACGCAGAUGACAGAGAUUAAGUGGGAUUAAUAGGGAUUCUAAGUACAAAAUCUUGAUAACUUGCAUAUGUUUAUUACAUACCCAACGUUGCUCACUGAAGAAUCAGUCUGAUUCAAGGGGUUCAUCCACAGAUGAUUGUUUUUUUUUUGCCAGUAAUCAGCAGACUUUAACUUCCGGUGGUAAAGAGGCCGGGCUGAGAUGUCAAGCCCAGUUCACUGUUCUUCUGCAGGCCGAACUCGUGUAGCCCUGGUUCAGUCAGAGUUAGGGUUUCCGAAGAAGUCUCUUAUAUUUGUUACGAACAGAACUAAGGAGACUGGUGGUACCCUUCUAAUUAUGUUGAGCGAAGAUCAGAUCGCAUGGCAAGAGCUCGAAGUUUGGCUCUGCUUUCACAGUUUUCCAGCGGGGAUUGGCCGCAGACAUUUCCCAGAAUCUCCCAGAUUUGAUGGGACAUUUGAUACCAGGCGACAACUCCAUCGAACAACUGUGAACAGCCCCCCCUCUCUCUCUCUCNNNNNNNNNNNNNNNNNNNNNNNNNNNNNNNNNNNNNNNNNNNNNNNNNNNNNNNNNNNNNNNNNNNNNNNNNNNNNNNNNNNNNNNNNNNNNNNNNNNNNNNNNNNNNNNNNNNNNNNNNNNNNNNNNNNNNNNNNNNNNNNNNNNNNNNNNNNNNNNNNNNNNNNNNNNNNACGACCCCUCCCUCCUCUCUCUCUCUCUCUCUCUCUCUCUCUCUCUCUCUUUCUCUCUCUUACUUUAUCAAGGGAUGCCUUCCUGCUUGUGCCAACUUUCCUGUGGGUUCUCCAAAUCAUCCCCAUCGAUCUACAUCAGUGAUGUCUGCUUCAAAUUUAUCUGGUGCUCUGCAAAGAACUGAAGGGCACUCUUCUUUAGAAAGCCCAUCCAUCCGAGGCUGGUCCCCGGUCAAAAUGUUGCCUUUUUCGGAUUCCCCAUUUAGUUUAUAUUUUUCUCCAUGCCGCUAUUGUGGGUCCUCCCUCAUGUCUUUUCUUCGCAUCUCUUGCUCUUGAUUGCCAGCUGCAAUCGGAUUUACGUGCCGAAAUAUGAUUUUAAGAACACCCGGAGGAAUUUCUGUAGAUAUUUGUCACUCUGCUGUCGCAUCUGCUCUUGGCAAGCCUGAGUAGGGAUGGAGAAGACCUAGAGGCGCCUGAGCUUACAGAGGGUCCACCAUGUCGGAGAUGACGAGCAUGAUGAUGAUGAUGAUGAUGAUGAUGGGUGGUGCAGAUUGUCACAUGGUGACAGGCGGGUAGGGUUUACACCAUGGGAAGAGCCCAUCCUCUUGCUUGCCCCUCUUCUGCUGAACUCAGACUACUUGGGUCCCACCUCUCUGGACCACUCGGCUGAAGAUCACUUCACUGUGAAGGGCCCCAUCGCAUGGAGGGCGCCCCAACUGGGAGAGCGAUGUUCCCAAAGUGGGAUAUCCCCAGAUGCGAUGAGGAUGAUCAGGUGCUUCUGAACCAUGUGGUGAACACGUCAUCAUUAUUCAUCAACGGAGAAUUAUGGAACAUUGUGGGUAUUUUCACAUUUCCUCUGCAUCAUGACAGCUCAUUUCUGCAAUUUUUUUUUUCCGCCAUCAAUCUGCCAGUUGGAUGCCAUGCUUUUCAAUUCUCUCGAUUAUGGUAGAAGAUGAUGAAAGCAGAAUAAUGAUGAAGUAAAGGCACCUGGGUUCACCAUGAAUGCCUCUGCCCGCCAACCAGAUUAGUCUUGAAAUCUCUCACUGCCCUGCCAGCGGAAGUCGGUGAACAAAAAAAAAAAAAGAAAGAAAAAACCAGUGUGAUCUCGGAGGAGAACCUGAUUUGUGAUAUUUGUUGGUUCAUUAUCUUGGUAAAGUUUAGUUCUUGAUCUUGCUCAGACCUCAAUCAUGGCGCUGUGGGCGGCCGUGGGGGCCCGUGUUGCAGGGAGAGGGGCAGAGUAUCUUCUUAUCUUUCUUGCUCAGUAUCUGCCCAGCGGCGGAAGGGCGCAGAGGGGACGGGGGAGGGAGAGACACGUCAUGUGGGCUUCUGGCGGCGUCAGAGGAAGAGGACGAGAUCCUCUUAAUGCCCGCUUGAAGAAGAACAAGAGGAAGAUGAAGAAGACGCGUCAUCCCUGCGUCGCUAUAUUAACCUCUUUCUUGCAGCGCCGUGGAUUUCGGCUCCGCGUCGCCUCAUGGGCUCCGUCCUUGGUCCGCUAGGGUUCCCUGGGUCUGAUCGCAGUAGCCUACCGGAGAGAUCUCGAGUUCGCUUGGUGCAGGUCGGGAACCUGCCCCCCACCCCCUCCGCCGCCAUGCCGGCGAGGCGGCGGCGGAACGCGGUUCCCCACUUGCGCCAACUGAAUUCGAGGUAUCGCGGCGGAGAAAAGGCUGCCGAGGAACCGGUGCGGCGGCGAUGGAGCCACCGCACCGGCGGAGUUCCUCUAUUUUGUUGAAGAGCCACCUGCUCGUCGUUGACCGCUCCCCCCUUCUUUCAGCCUCUUUCUAAUCAUGAUUCUAUGUACAUGCUCUUCUUCUUCUUCUUCUUCUGCAGGGGAUUGGGAGCGUCUGUCCGUUGAGAUUAAUCCAUCAAGGAACGAAGGCCGAGGUGCAGGAGGGAUCUCCUUGGAGAUUCAACGAAUUUUUUUUUUUUCAAUCACCCAGUUGGAUUGAAUCUGCUCCAGCUAUUUUACAGAGCUGGAAUCACCCAGACCAGAGGCCUUUGUUCUUGGAGGAGGAGGAGGCCUGAUCUCCGUGUUCUUCAGCUGUUCUUCAAUUUCUCGCCGCCUACUGGGUGCCCAAACUAUCCCCUCCCAGAUUUCUAAAAUAAUAUCAUGAUUCUUCAUAACCAGGUGAAGAAGACUGGGCCGACUGGAGAUGUGACUCAGAGACUCGCAAUCUCUUGUUUCCUUAAGAUCAGUUUCUGCGGAUCUCAAUCAUGGCUGAACCUUGGUUGCUUCAUUCUCUUGAAUCCGAAGUCAUGGCUGAAGCUGAUGCUGAUGGUUAGGAGAGGCGACGAUCUGUGGCCAUUAUUUUUUACUUUGUAUUUCUCAUCUUCCGAUAAAGUUUUUUUUAUCAUGAGAUUUAAUUAAAUCCUCCUCUGAUAAACAAUGCCUGAGGCUCCUCCAACCUUGCCCUACCAGGCUCUUUAUAUGACCCAUUUGACAAAUAUUUGUGCUUAAAAUCUUUCAUCUACGACUCUCUCUCUCUCUCUCUCUCUCUCUCUCUCUCUCUCUCUCUCUCUCUUCAUGGUUCAAGGAUCCCAUGAAGAUUCUGGGUCAAUCUUCCUCACUAAUCUAGGCAUAAGUCAUCCAUCAGACCAAGGAGAACGUGCUGCUAUAAAAUUCCAUCUAAUCUUGGAAGCAGCCAACACCAGAGAUCAGAUAGAUAGUGAGCAAAAAUAGCAUAUGAAAGUUUAUCAGCGUUCUUAAAAAGGUUGCAUUAUUUGAUGAAACUGAGAUCGCACAUCAUGAUAUGUUCAGUGACAAUUGAUAGAUUCUGACCGUGCCCAUGACUCCAAAAAGCUUGGGAAAUCUACGCAACAUGUGGAUUCAUGAUGCCCAAAAGGCUUCCCAUUUGAUACAGAAUUAAGUAAAAUCCAAAUUAAGCAAAUCUCUUUUAUAAUCCUGAGCAUGAAGUCAACUGGGGGCCAUUUCACCGCCUGAAGCCCUUGGGCUCCAUCUCAGGGCGGCAAGGGUCAACUCAGUAAUGAGAGGCAUAAAGAGAAAGACCCCUCCCAUGGGAAAUUACCAAAAUCAUUGGUCACAGGUAAAUAAUGGGAAAUUAUCCUAAACCGGGUAAAAAAAAAAAUUAAUCAGAACCUUCGUCUGAUUAAUAUGUGGGGCAUGAACUGACCGUACAAAGUGGGAGGAAAUACGCAGCCCAUAAUUUGUCAGAUUUUUCAACUGGCAAUAGCAGAAGCCCUAUUCAAAGCAUUCGUUAUUGAAACAAGUACACAGAAAAAUUAACAACAAGGCGAUUUCUUAGGGUAGAAAAAUCCAGACUUACGGCUCACAGGUUCUACAUUUCUUCGAUCUGGGCACCUUGAGCCUCCCUCCACGCUCAUUGGAACGCGCUCUGCUGCAGCUCGAGGGAGCCCCUUCAGCCCCACUGGAUGCUCCACAAGGGCUUAAUGGGGAGGGGGUCAGAGGGUUGACUUGGGUACAGUGGGUCGGUCCAAAGCAGCUCCCGCUCUUGACCAGAGGGAAGACUCUGGGAUGAGAAUCAACAGGGAUGAUCUGGGAACUCGGGGUGGCCUGUCCAGCCUGAGGGCCACCUCGUGGCUCACAGGGGUCCACUUGUUCUUCAUUGGGCUUCAUCCCCACCUCGAGAGGAGCAGGAGACGCUUCAGAGCUUUGCCUAAUUUGACUGAUGGUAGCAAAAAGUUUUUCUUUUGAUCUGAUGAUCUGCGACAUGAGAAUCCUCUUCUGGGAGUCGCCAUCGCCUUCAAAAAAAUCAAUAAAUAAAUAAAAUAAAGGGGUCAAAGUUAUGCAUAGACUUUGAGUAUAUUCAAGGAAAUAAACCGAGUAUAGAGAGAGAGGACCUAAAAUUGACUCAACAACAGCGCGUGCUGCCAGCUGAUUCGCUUCUCUCUUGUUCCUUCCGACGGUGCCCUUGUGUACUCUUCCAGCGAAAAGCACAGAGGAGGUGAAUGUGGGAAGAAGUCCGUCUAACUGGGAGCAUGUAUAGACUGGCCGCUCUAAGUUCAUCUUUACUGCAUACUCCUCCAUAAUAGAUCUGCAAAAUGUCGUGUCCUGGAAGAGAUACAGCAAAUGAGUAAGUGAGCAAUCGAGAGAGAGAGAGAGAGAGAGAGAGAGAGAGAGAGAGAGAGAGAGUAGAGAGUAGAGUAGUAGUAGUAGUAGAGUAGUAGUAGUAGUAGUAGUAGUAGUAGAGAGAGAGAGAGAGAGAGAGAGAGAGAGAGAGAGNNNNNNNNNNNNNNNNNNNNNNNNNNNNNNNNNNNNNNNNNNNNNNNNNNNNNNNNNNNNNNNNNNNNNNNNNNNNNNNNNNNNNNNNNNNNNNNNNNNNNNNNNNNNNNNNNNNNNNNNNNNNNNNNNNNNNNNNNNNNNNNNNNNNNNNNNNNNNNNNNNNNNNNNNNNNNNNNNNNNNNNNNNNNNNNNNNNNNNNNNNNNNNNNNNNNNNNNNNNNNNNNNNNNNNNNNNNNNNNNNNNNNNNNNNNNNNNNNNNNNNNNNNNNNNNNNNNNNNNNNNNNNNNNNNNNNNNNNNNNNNNNNNNNNNNNNNNNNNNNNNNNNNNNNNNNNNNNNNNNNNNNNNNNNNNNNNNNNNNNNNNNNNNNNNNNNNNNNNNNNNNNNNNNNNNNNNNNNNNNNNNNNNNNNNNNNNNNNNNNNNNNNNNNNNNNNNNNNNNNNNNNNNNNNNNNNNNNNNNNNNNNNNNNNNNNNNNNNNNNNNNNNNNNNNNNNNNNNNNNNNNNNNNNNNNNNNNNNNNNNNNNNNNNNNNNNNNNNNNNNNNNNNNNNNNNNNNNNNNNNNNNNNNNNNNNNNNNNNNNNNNNNNNNNNNNNNNNNNNNNNNNNNNNNNNNNNNNNNNNNNNNNNNNNNNNNNNNNNNNNNNNNNNNNNNNNNNNNNNNNNNNNNNNNNNNNNNNNNNNNNNNNNNNNNNNNNNNNNNNNNNNNNNNNNNNNNNNNNNNNNNNNNNNNNNNNNNNNNNNNNNNNNNNNNNNNNNNNNNNNNNNNNNNNNNNNNNNNNNNNNNNNNNNNNNNNNNNNNNNNNNNNNNNNNNNNAGAGAGAGAGAGAGAGCGUAUGUUCUUCAGGUUUGAAUGCCUGGUGUAACGAGUGGCACCAUUAAUAAGUGUUUCACACAGGGGACAAGAUCAGAAUUUUCAGGAAUUCUUUUUAUUUUUAUUUUUCUGAAACAGCAAGAGAUUGAUGAUUUGCCUGCAUUAGGUUCAUAGGAAAGGCAUUAAAUGGCAUCAAAUUAAUAAACCUUUGACGAAAUAUUAGUCGCCUUAAACAUUUAAAAAUCCUUAAAUCUUAUCAUAAUCUAUUGAACAUUAGUUAGAAGAUUCAAAGCAGACACAGUUCUUAACAUAAAAAAAAGUUAUAGAAAAACAAUAUCAGCUGCAAUAAAAUGGCACCUCUUUCAAUCAAUCAAGGCUCCAAGGUUUUUGUAUGGAGGACCAUAAAAAUAGAUUACAAGAACCAGAUUUAAUGAUCUCAUUUCAAAUUCAGUUAUAUAGUUCUUAGAUUCCAAUCAUUGUGGACUGAUCAUUGUGAAAAUAUAUUGGUGCAAUCAUCCACCAAUUCCAGAAAUAGGAAUACCCAGAAAAAAGUUAUGAACCUCCACUUAUUUGAACAACAAUGUUCCAGUACCCUAAAAUAGAGGAGGCUGCCUUUAUGACCAUUAAUCAGAGGGCAGAAGACAGGCCAACAGUGUUGAACAAGUUUCAGUAAAAUCAAAAAAAUAAAAUGAAACCUAGGAACCAAGUCUAAAUAGAAGGAAAUUUUAAUUAAAAAAUGCAAGGAAUGAACACAUUCAAUGACCAUACUUUAAUUAAACAAAACAUAUCAUAAAAGUAGUCGCAUAUUGAGUAGCGUAGGAAGGGAUGGAAGACAUACACAACUAAUUAAAGGGCACUCUUGUUGUUCUAUCUUCUUGGAUAAUUCUUUAAGAGCCAGCUCAGCCACAUUUUGCUCUGCUUCCUUCCGAUGGGGAAAUGUUUGCGAUGAUCGGAAUGUAACUCCAUCAACUAUGACGGAUGAUCUAAAUUGUGGAGCAUGUUGUGUUCCUUCAUUGAUUGUUUGAUAUAACGGCAGUGGGAUCAAAGAUCUCUGAGCAUGCUCUUGUAAACGAUUCUUGUGCAUAAAUUUAUCAUCUGGGCCUAUUUAUGUUAAAAAAAUAAAAAGAACGUUGGUAGUGCAUAUUUAUUUUUAUUAUCAACUAAAGAUAUAUCAAAGAUCAAAUUAGUAAUGAAGGAAAAUAAUUGAGGUAAUAGAGAAAAAGACAUUUGCAUAGAAAAAAGUACAUUGAAAAGGUAUCUAAACGAAAGAUUUUGAAUUUAUGCAAUGCAUCAAAAAUUUAUUGACCAUUGAUUGGGAAUCUAAGGGUAGUGGAUAUUAUGAUAGUUGACACUUACUACUCGGGGAAUCGGGAGAGACUAUCCCCAAAUGUGGAAAGAAAAUCCAAGCAUCUAGGUUUAAUAUGAUGUCAUGGUUCAACAUUCAAUUACCAAAUAUGGGUUUUCAAAAAAAUAAAUUAGACGACACCCUUCUUGGCCAUCAUUUACUUUGAAAUAGCCAAUGAUCUGAGGGAAAUGGUGAUAGCAAUCUGAACCAAAUUAGUGUUUGAUAAUGGAUAUAAAGCAAGAGCCUCUCCUGUCUCCAUGUCAAGCAACCUAUUUAAUACUUUUGGUCAUAAUAACCUAUGAUUAUAUCGACACCAUCUUUCGGUGAAGAAACGUUGAGAGCACCAAUAAAAAGAUUUGCCCUCAUGGGCAAUAAAGGCAGAGUAGAAGCCAGAUGCGCAGGUCCUAAUCCCCAAAAAAAGCAAUCAGAUUUACAGCGAAUCCAGGAUUCAAAAAAGGGAAAUCCCCAGAAUUCUUGCAUUCAAUUGUUCCUGGAUUCAUGAGCAAAAACUGCCACCUUACCCUGUUUAUUACAGCAACAUUCCAGCUAGUUAGACAUCCUCCUUAUAUUUUAGACAACCAGGGAACUUAUAAACCAUCUCGAGACCGGAAAAUUUUCCCAUUUUAGCCCCCCAUGAAUGCUUCCAGAGGCAGCAAUCGCAGCAGAAAGGAACUCAGUGGGUCACAACGACAGGAGAAGGUAAUUCACUGGGCCAUGGUUUCUUCAAGAAGCUUAACAAGCAGAUGUCAGCCUGUAGAAGAUGUUCGCCGAGAGCAGUUCUGGAAUCCAGGGAGGAAGGUACGGAUCUUAUAAUGUCUAUUCACAGAUCACCCUCGUCUCUUAAAAAGAAGAAGAAAGAAAAGACAAGAAAUUAUGAAGAAUGGAUCAAACUGCUUUCUCUGGUCACAAGAAACCACUUCUUUGAUUGAUAAACGAAUAAGAGGAAGAAGCCAUCACCGGCGAAAAUCCUAGGUCACUGAAUAAGCUGUGUCGUGAAGGGAGCUGAAAGGUGAGCUUACUAGGGUUCGACGACGAAGCGGGUUGCAUCCCCAACGGAGCCCUGGAGCGGAUGAAACGUGAGGAGGAAGGAGGGCGCAGCCCGGUAAGAUUUCCCCCCUACGCACCAAAAAAAACGCUGCUCAAGAACAAGCCCCCCAGCCUCAGCAAGUUCACUCACUCCCCGCAGCAACGAAGGGACAUGGAGCAGAGGGGGAUGGAGAGGCGGAGCGAGCCCAGCAGCACUCUGCCAAAGGGAUCUUCGUGGACGAAGAAUAUGCCCAAAGAGAGGGCACCCCUACGGCGGCAAAAGCGCUCCUCCACUGUUCAUCGACCGCGGUCAGCGAUCCCUGCCGGAGUGGGCUCUGCGGAGGAGUCCUCGACGGCGGGACAAGUAGUCUGUGGAUGUGAGGUUCUACAGUGACAAUACGAAAAACUCUGGAAAAACUGGAAAUGGCUCAUUCCACAUUUCUAAUAUGAUCACAAGCAGUUGAGUCAUUUGGAUCAUCAUCAAGAACCAUUCUUGGAAAAGUUAAAUCUCUCUUGGAAAAGGACGUUUAGGCAUACUCACUUUGACUUUCUUUGGCGGUGAAUAGUUUGCACAUUCAAUUGUAUAAAGAAAAUCAUGCCCACCAUUUUUUUAGGAUUUUCAUCUGAUUUCGUUUAAAUAUGUUAUUAUUCCCAAUCAAUUAUCAUUCCUACAAUAUAUUUAUCAAAUAUUCUAACCUUAAUAAUAUUAGUAAUGAAUGUAGACACACUAACUUCUUACGUUAGUUUGAAUCAACUAUUGUUGAUAACAACAAUCUUUGAGCCACAAGAUGCACGGAAAUACCUUACCAUUAUUAACCAUUAUUUUUUUUUCUUUGGACCUCAUUCAGCAUCUAGAUGUGGUUGUUUGUAAGGUGCAUUUAUGAUCAUUAAUAAAUUUGAUGAAGAGGUAAUAUAAUUUGAUAAAAAUCCUUAGGCCACUCCACUUAGCAAGCCUAUUUUGAAAUUCUUACUUUUUUUACCACAAGAUAUAUAUCAUAGUCACCAAUGUGAUUUUCAAUAUGGUUGAAGAACAUUGAGAUUUUAUGGAAAGUUAUGCCAUAUUAAUAUUUAAAUGGGGAGAGCGAUGGAACCAUAUCAAUAUGAAUGGAAUCGUAAGGGGAGGGGGGUGGGUUAAAAUAUUCUUUUUCUAUAAAAUAGGACUCCUCAAGUGAGAGAAGCCCACAUGACUGCUCCCAAAAAUAAACACAUUGUGAAUUUUAUCUCUAUAAUUUUUUCGUAUUUUUCUCAGUGAAACUUACCAAAUGUAAGCAUUUGUAGGAAUAUUUGUUAUCCAAUUCCAUUAGCUAUCGUGAAUACUUUCAAUGAGGCUACAAUUAUUUUGUGUUGACAAUCUUAUAUAUGAUAGGGACCUUAUUGCAUUGUUUGUUACUUUUUAUCUUGAUUUAUCCUAUGUUGUUGUUACUUCAAAAUUUUACUUAGCAUUGAGACCAAGAGACUAGAUAUGAAUGAGAUUGAGACCCAUAAUAUGAUUGUGAAAUCAAGAACAAUAUUUCAAAAUUUAACAAGUAAAUGUAUCAUAUCUAUUUUCAUGAUAGUUUUAUAAAGCAUGCGUAAUUUAGGAAUUUGGUUUGAUUUUUUCAUCUUUAAUUUUACAUUCCAUAAUCUACAAUGUAGUUAUAUGCAGGACCACAUGAGUAUAUUCAUACAUUCUUCCUAAUUGAAUAUAUCAAGAGAUUAAUGAAAACAUGGAUAUGGACACAUCAAUCAUGCCAUUAGUCUCUCUAGACGACUUUGAAUAUACCCUUCAUAUCAGCAAUGUUGAAAUUUCUUUAGGCAACUUUGUGUGAAUACUUUGUGUUGGUUUUUGAUAGGACCUUGAUUCUAUCCAGAAGACAAAGGGGGAAAAGCAAGAGAAACAUGAAUAUGAUAUAGUCUAAAAGGUAGUAGAGAGGAAAUAACAUAUAAAAGAGAUCUUGCUUGAACCCCAAAUAGUUUGAGACAAAUUUUAGAGCACCUCGCCCUCUUGGGGACUUUCUAAAGGGUGCAUGGUCCCCCACUCCCCCAUCAAGGGGUCUUACAUUGAGGAGUGAUUAGGGUUAGCCUUAGGUUGGGCUUCUCGUUCAUGAUCUUAGGCUUCCAUAUGUUGGGCAUUGGCCUAAGUUAUCCUUCUUUCAUAAGAUUUUAAGGGAAUCAUAUCAAUACUCCCCCCCUAUGCAACUACCAUAUCCUCGAGGUAGAACUCUAAAAAAUAAUUACUAAUUGUUGACAUUGAUUCUCAUAAAGUUUUAAAGUUAGGAAGAUCAUGCCACUUGAGUAGGAUCAUGAGCCCAUUUGAAGAUGGCUUGAAGAUUAAGAACCCUUUUGAGUAGACGAUCCAUUCAAGCUCCUUGAUUAGAGAAGUGGGAAGUAAUUGGGUAAAAUAUCUGUGCCCAAUGCAUGCUUCAAUUGUGAGACAUGAAAAAACAAGUGCAAUAAAAAAUGAGGUGGCAAGUCCAAUUUGUAUGCAACUUGACCUAUAUUUUGCUGCACCAUGAAAGGUUCAAAGUACUUUGAGCCCAAUUUUUCAUUAGGGCAAGAUGUUAGAGAUUUCAUCCUAUGUGCUUUGAGUUUUAUGUAAACCUUGUCUCUUGUAGUAAAGUGGACAUCAUUCGUGUUUGUCAACUUGAAUUUUUAUAUGAGCCUGGGCUCAAACUAAAUGAGAUUUGAAGAGGUUUAAAAUGAUGUCCCUCUAUUUGAGUAACAUGUCAAAAAUAUCAACUAGAGAAGUAGGAGAGUUUGUGUGAACUAGAGAUGAUGGAUCUCUACCAUACAUCACUUUAAAGGGUGUCAUGGGGAUAGACGAAUGAUAAGAUAUAUUGUAGGUCAGCUCGGACUAAUAGAAUCACAAGUUUUAAGUGUUUACUUACAAAACAUUGCAAAUAACAUCUGAGCCCUUGAUUUACAAUGAUUUGGCUGUAGGUUUUCAAAUGGUAUGAUAAUCUCAUUUGAAAUAAUGUGCCUUGGGUCUUGUGCAGCUCCUUCCAAAAAUAAUUAAUAAAUAUACUACUAUGUUAAGAAAGAAUGAAGUUAGGAAGUGAACUACCUUCUUGGCAAGAUGUGUGCAAUGUCCCUUGUUGAGUAUGAGUGUUUGAGAGUAAUAUUGUGGUUAUACUUAGACAACCUAGUAUUAUUAUGAUAGAAUCAAAACCUAUGAUUUGGGCAAGCCUUCAAUGAAAUCUAGGGAUUCAUCAUUGGCAAAAUGUUAGAGAUUUCAUCCUAUGUGGUGUGAGUUUGACUAGGGAUAGAGAGAGGCUAAAGUAAGCCUAUUGGAGAUGAAUAGGAAGAUUUGAAUCAAAGGCAAAUGUUGCAUUCAUUGAUAUAAGCCUUUAUGUGCCUCUUCAUUCCUUGUUAGUGCACUUGUUGGGUUAUCUAUUUGUAAAUUUUUAAGAACCUCACGUGCCCUCCCAAGACAUUGUCAUGAAAUUAUUUGAAAAGAAAAGACACAACUACAUGCUAAGUAUCCACAGCCGGCAUUGAUAUAAGAGUGUCUUGAAAAAGAGAGUAGUUGGGUUUAAUUCUCUUCUCAUACCACAAUAAUUGCUUGAUCUUUGAUUAUAUGGGGUCAAGGUCAAUGUUAGUUGUAUUCGGUCUAAAUCAAACCAUAUAGGAGUAAAAAUAGAGUGGAACUGUAGUUUAAGUAAUAAAGGGGAACAUGAUAAAACAUCAACUACCUUGUUCAUGCACCUAUCUUUGUAUUUGAUAUUGAAUUAGAGUCUGACACAUCAUCAAUGUGAAAGUUAGUAAGAUCCAAGCUUGAAUUCACAAAGCAUGAAUCUAGAGGAGAAAACUAGAUUAAAUAUAUAGAACUAGAGUUGUCACCCUUAAAUCUAUAAGAUCAAAAUUGAAUCCACAAGAGUUGGGGUGAGGUGACCUUAAAUCCAUAAGAUCAAAAUUGAAUCCACAAGAGUUGGGGUGGUGUGACCUUAAAUCCAUAAGAUCAAAAUUGAACACUUGAGUCUACAAGGCAAUAAGGAAGGUGACCUCACAAGAUAGAAAAACUCAUGACUUCUAAAAGAUGUUCCUCUAAGUUACAAUGGGAAACUUUAUAUGGGCCACAAAGGAGGUGGGACUCUCCCAAAACUAAGAUCCUAAAUGAAUCUUGAUGACAGACUUUGAGUGGCCCUAAAAUGACUUGAAAUAGGCAGUGACAAAUUAAAAUGACAUGAAAUGAGAUAUGAUAUAUUGAAAUGACUUGAAAUAGGUUAUGAGUAAUAUUUAAAACACCUUCUAGAAGAAAAGAGACAUAAAAUAAAUUUAUAUAAAUUGACUUUCUUAAAGUAACUUUUUGUGACUUCUUGGGCCAAAUUAGGUAUUAAGCCAUCUUUGAGUACUUGUCUUUAUGACCUAAAUUCAUAGGUUGGGCCUAUAGUUUUAGACUUCGCUUCUACUUCUAUGUGUUGGGCUACAUCAGAAUCUUAAAAGCUUUGACAACCACUUGUGAUAUUAGGUAUACACCUCAUGUUGAUUAAAUAAUAACUUGAAGUCAUAUUGAUUUGUGCAUAUUGUAAAUCGUUGAAAUAUGAGAUACUAUUUUAAUUUUUGAACCGCCCAUACAAUUGUUACCAACUCCUAUUUAUAAGUUGAAUGUGAGUAAGCUUUUAAUGGGCAUGACUUAAAUAAAAAAUUCCAUUAGUUUCUUAUGUUUUAUUAUGACUAUUGAUGCCCUUAAGCAUAUGUUUUGAUAUUACAAUUAAAUGAGAAAAUGUCUAAUUGAUAUUUGAUAUUGUUCACAUGAUUAUUAUAAAUGUUUGAUAUAUUUUAUGAAUUAAACUCUAUUAGUUAUCUUGUGAUAUUAUACUUAACCCAUUGAUUUAAGAAAUUAAAUCUUGAGAUUAAUUGAUUUGAUGAAUAGGUGAAGCAUCACAUUUAUGAGAAUAAAUAUUUGAUAGAAAAUAAAUAUUUAAAUGCUUAAAUCUUUUAAUUUAUUUAUCUAUGAUUAUUUGACCAUUUAAGUGGAACCCUUUAGUCAUUGGUCACAUGCAUUAUGAAAGGAAAAUGAAAAUAAUUCUAAAUAUUAAAUGAGCUCUCAGAGUCUUGAAUUGAAAAAUUUAGAUAGUGACAUGUCAGCUACUUAUAUAGAGAAAAUGACUAACUUAAUGUUAGAAUCUGAAGACAAUGUCAACAUAAAAGUUAUUUGUGCAUGAGAGAUGAAUUUUCAUUUUAAAUUUUAAAUUGAAUGAACUAAUAACUAUCAAGAUAUUAAAUUUACAAUGGUUAAAGAGAUUGUUACCACAUGUUUUGAAAAAUGAUAAGUAUUUGAAUUAACUUUCUAAUUUUAUCUCUUGAGAAAAACACAAAAAUUUGUUAGAGAAAGACGUCCUAUCAGUAAAGAAAAUUGAGAAGAUUAAAAACAAUCAUUCUACUUUGAUUUACAAAUGAGAAUCUCUUUCACGAUUGAAAAAUAUCACUGUGGAGCUUCAAAUGUGUGUAAAUUAUAUAAUCUUUUUUAUCAAUGAUUGGUGAUAAGUUAAAUACUUGAAUUUUUUAAAGAGGCUCUUCACUAGGACCUAAGGUAAUUAGAUAGUGAGGGGAGAGUGGUUUUGGAUGAAAAUAUGAAGUGCUCUUAGCCUUAGUUGGCUUGGACAAGGCUAGAUUUUUGCAAAGAUUGAACUUGAAUUAUUAACCUAUUUAUCUCAUGAGUUUUAGUGUAUAUUUAUGAGGAAAAUAGUUGAAAUAUAGUAGGAAAGAUUCUCUGAUAUUAGAAGUAGUUAGGUGAUGGACAAACUAGUAUAAAAGGAUUGUGUCUGAUUUGCGAGGGAGAGAAAAUCGUAAACUAACUUGUCAAAGGCAAGAGAAAGAGAACUCGUAGGUAAAUAAUCAUGAAAAAUAAUGUUAGCACACAUGUUGAGACAUCUAUGAUUUAAAAAUAAAAUUAUAAAUUAUAGAAACACCAAUUCACUACCCCUAUUGGUAUUUUACCUAGCCCCUAGAUUUUUCAAAGACAUCACUAACUCUUAGACCUUAAGUAUCAGUCUCUAAGGUAAACGGUGAGAUAAAUCAAGUAAGGAUAAGACUAGGGUAGAUAUCAUGACAAUCUUCAUAUUCUUAAAAACAUUGUAACUCUCCUUGAACCAAGUGAAAGUAUUAUAUUUUAGCAUCUACAUGAGAUUGUCAAAAUAAGCUAGUAUUUAAUCAUUGAAAUUUUAUUUACAUAUGUAGAAACUCUAUUAGUUGAAAUCUAGUGUCCUAAACAUUCGAUAUAAAGUUGGGCAAAAUAAUAUUUCUUGGUGUUAAUGUGGAAAUGAUUGUCACAAAGAACAUGAUACAUUAUGGUGAAGUGUUGCUCGUGAUCUUCCAAGGAGUGGUUGUAGGUCAAUAUAUCGUAUAAAAAACUAAGACAAAACAGCAGAGAUAAGAGUCAAAUAUAUGAUUAAUCAAAUAUUGAUAGGUUAUCAAGGCAUUGGAUAACCCAAAUGACAUGACCACAACUUUAUAAAUACUUUAGUGAGUUUUUAAAGUUAUUUUCAAUAUAUCUUCAGGGUACAUUUAAAUCUAGUAAUACAUUGCUAUCAAAUCAAAUUUAGAGAAAAUUGACAUAAUAUAUAUUUUUCUAAUAAUUCAUCUAACAUUAGGAUGAGAAACCUAUUAUGAAUUGUUGCCUUUAAUGCAUAGUAGUUGAAAAAAAUUACCAUCCUCCAUCUUUUUUCUUGAUCAAUAAAGUGGGGCUAGAAUAUGGGUUGAUAGAGUAUUAAAUGACACUUACAACUAGUAAUUAUUACACAAGCAUCUCACUUUUUUGGAAGUGAGAAUAUCAAUAUGGCUUUACAUUCAUUAGAGAUGCUUUUGACAAUAAUACAAUUGAGUGAUUGAUGUGACAUUACAGAGGAAGGCCUUGUUAGGUUUCAAAUGUAAGGAAAAUUAUUGUAGUCUAGUGAUAAGAGACUCUUACCUUUCGUUUUUUGAAGUGAGGUUAUACUUGAAAUCAUAGUAUGAUAUAAUUCAAUCAUGAAAGAGUAACUCUAUGCUAAUUCAAAAUCCACUAAUUUGAGGGGAAGAUUUGAUUUAAGUAGGCUAAGAUUUGUUUGGAGAGUGUGUUGUUGCACAUAGUUCAAAGGAUAUCAUCAAAAGUUCAUAAUUAUAAGAGAACUAACCCAACGAUUGAGACUAUUGUUCACCUAAUAUAAAAUAAAUUCUAAUAAGGUCUAAUGCUAAAAAAUCUUAGAUGAUGCAUAUCUUUUAGAUGAUAAUUAGUGGUAUGUGAUAAUGUCUUAAGUUGCACAUUUGAUGGUAAUCCCUCGAAGUCAUAGAUUAUAAGGGACCCAUUUCUAAUUAUAAGUGUAAUUCCUAAAUGAGUGAGGUGCGAAUGAAAGCGUGAGUAGUCCCUCCAUCGAUAAGGGCAGUAAUAUCUCUAAAAUAAAAUUUUCUUUCCAUCUUCAAGGUGUUAUGAGGAGUGAAUUUUGAGAUAGAAUUUAAGUAAAUAUGUGCAAAAUAUAAAGUUAUGUUGGUUGUAGGGUAUGGGUCAACUUUCAUCUAAUCCUCAUCUUCUUCUAUCCUAAUCAGAACAUGUUCUCCCUCUUAGACUAUAAUGAUGUAAAGCUUUCCUUUGCAUCCAUGACCUAGGGUGAAAUAAUCCUUGGAAUAGAAGCCAAGUCCUUAUCAAUCGGGGGGGGGCGGGGCCGGGGGGCAUUAUUUGUUUUCUUUAGUGGUGGCCUAUGGGGAAGAAGUUUGUAAUGUGCUUUACUCCUUGGUGGUUUUCACUAUGAGACCUAUAGGAGCUUUGUGAAAUGAGUGAGACCUAUAAUUGGGGGUAUGUGGUUACUAACCUUGGAGUGUGAAGAUGAGGUAUGGGGAGGUCCUAAUAAACCUACAUGUAGAUAGGCCUUCCAAACUAUUUGAAGUUAGAUUUCUACUUCACUAAAAAUUUCAUGAUUUCUUGCGGGUCAAGGGGCUUGUGAUGAGCAAGCUCUACUAAAAAUUUUAAUUUCAAACCAUUUAAGUAGGCACUCUCCAUAGUCUCCACUUGCACAUGAGGGAGAUAAGUAACCAAGUGUUCAAAAUUAGCCUUGAACUCAAGGACAUAAAAAUCUUGGUGUAAGUUGAAGAUGUACUACAAUGUAAUGUAUAAGGAAAGCUUAACAUGGCACUCCAAUUGGUGUUUAAAUUCUUGUCAAUUGUGAAAAAGAAAGUGAUCUAAUGUAUAUAGGAACUAAUCCAAAGCGGUCCAUCCAUAUGAGUGAGGACUAGCUUUAAACAAUUUUCCUCUAAAGUGGGAUUCAACGAAAAAAAAUGUUCAACAAGAUGGAGCCAUGCCUCUAGGUUCUCACAUAUGAAUACUAGUAGUUUUCUAUACCUAGACGGUUGGGGAAAGUCAUUUGUUGUCUCCUUUAUCUAAGGAGCAUCUAGAGGGUUGUGUGAAGCUGAUGGAGGGCCCUCUCUAAGUUAACUAGAAGGAAAGGUGUCACUCUUGUAACAAGAAGGAGAGGGUGGGGCUAUUUAGACUAAAUGUGACAAUGACAUAUCUACAUAGAGGUGAGUGUGGUGGAGUGUUAGCAACAUUGGAGAUGGAGGUGGUCCCAACAUUGUUGGUUGACCAAUAGAUGACGAGAUCCUCAAGCUACUAGGACAAAUGGUCUAGGACAUCUUUGGUGUUGGUGCAGUUGGCGUCAAUGCUUUCUUGUAAGGUGUCCAAGAUCUUUGUAAUAGAAUUUAGGCAUGCUUCUAAGGAGUCCAUGUGUGCCCUUUGAUGGGGGGUGAUCAUAAACGAGUAGGAAAGUGGCUCUAAUACCAAAUGAUAGAACCCUAAUUCUAUAAAGAGGCCAUGACAAGGGAAAAACAAGAGAAAUAAGAAUAGAAUCUAGAAUAGAAGACAACAAAGAAGGAACAACAUAUAAAAGGAUCCUGCAUGAACCCCAAAUAAUUUGAGAUGAAUUCUAGCACACCUUGUUCUCUUGGACUUUCUCCAAAAAGGUGUCUAGUGCCCCACUCCAUUAUUGGGGGUUUUACAUUGGGGAGGGAUUAGGGUUAGUCUUGGGCGGGGGUUCUAACUUAUGUUGGGCCUGGGCUUGAGUUCUCCUUCUCUCAUAAGACUUUAAAGGGAUCAUAUCAUAAUCCCAAAGCCCUAAUCUUCUAUAUUAUAUAUAUAUAUACAUAUAUAACAUAUUGGUUUGUACCAACAAAAUUAGAACCAAGUGACAAGACUUUGAAAGUUAUUCAUGCAUUUUUAUUGACACUUUUCAUCUUAAUUCAAUUGAUCACUUAAGCUUGAAGGCUCCCCAUUAACAUGCUAAUUGAUUUUCAUUAAGAAGAAAUGCCAUACUUAUAUUGAAUAGUUUGUUAGCUUUAAAAUAUGUAAUCUUUACAAUGGAUUUUUCUUAGUGCUUUUUUUUAUGAUAGCUUGAUAUAUCUUUACAAUGCUUUAUUUUUCUUAGUGCUUUACAUUGUCUUUUCAUAUAUUUUUUAAGACCCUUACGUUGAAUUGAUGACAGCAAUAAGUGGGCAUCAACAUUCAUAUUCUUUUCUAAAAAAAGGAAGAUCUAUGUUCUAUACAUCUCUUGGAAUUGAACAAAGCAAUGUAAGGCAAGUUUGAGUUUUACCUCUCCAUCUGACCUGUUUCUUACAUCAAUUUCUUCUACAACAUGGGGUUUGGGUUCUUCUACCCAAGAACCUGGUUAUUACUAAAUUAGCUCUGCACAAAUGCAUCAAUCAAAUUAGAAACAAUGUAGCUCCUGAUUUUAUUAGGGAUGUAAUCAUUUACAGGGUCUAAUCAAGACCAGAUAUAAUAACCCAUCCUCUUCAGAAAAUUAUGAGCGGACCAAAGAUGUUGACCUUAGCACCAUCAUCAUCACCAUCGUCAACCACAUGUAAACCCAUGGAUCACCAUCAAGGACCCAUCCUCCACCCAUCUCCCAUGGCACCAAAAUCACUUCAAGAUCAAUCCUGACAAAAAAAAUUUCCAUAUUGCUUCUUGAAUUUACCUCUUCAUUUCAUCCUAUUGACUAAAAAUGGAAAUAUUAUUUAUUAGGCAGAUAUGACUAUUAUCACAAUCAGUAGGACGAUGCUGAAGAUCAUCAGAAGCAUGCACGUCUGCAUAAACAGGAGAAAGAAAACACGUUUAGAAGAUUAAAAUGGUGAAAAUUUCGGUUAAGGUGAGAGUAGGGAAUCUACCAAAGAUGAAUUUGUUCUUUGAGAUUUUGAUGCCUGAGCUAGAUGCGAUUUUGCUUGAAUUGUUGCAGAAUGUGUGUUCCCAAUGUUGGUUUCGAUGUCAUCUGAUGUUAUCAUUUAAGGGUGUUUCGUAUGAUAAGCCAAACGUUGUGGAAAAGAAUAUCAGAUUUAGUUAGUUUUCAACUAACCGAUCAUGAUUCCUUGAUCAUGGACAAGGACUGCGAGGUCUUUGAAGAUUUCGUUCACAUCGCCUAUCUGCUGCUGGACCUCCUUGAUUCCUUGUUCCCUCUCCUCAAUAAUGGCAUCAUUGAAGAUAAUCUCAUUGUCCAGGAGGAGAACCUCUCGCCUUCAAAAAAUAAGAACGAAUUUCAGAAUUGAUAGCAUAGCCCAAGCAUCAAAAUAACGAUAAUCAAGUUUUUUUCAAAGUUUUUUUGAAAGGGACUAUAGGAGAAAAAAUCAUGCGAGACGAGUUCUUUUUGAUGAAAUAUGUAUGAUUAUGGUAUGCAAGGUAAAUUCGACAUCUUCCUAAGCUCUACGUUUUAUUAAAAAAAUUGUAUGUGUUUGGUUUGAUUAACAAAUUAAAAUUUAAGAGAUGCCAAGGUCUGGGAAAGAAGUCAGUAUAUUGUGAACUAUCAUCAUCCAUCCAGAAAAUAAUAUAACCAGCUCCCCAUUAUUCUUUCUGGAUAGGCAAAGUUGGAAAAUUUAGGAAAUUCACCAAUAUAAUAUUCUUCAUAUGAACAGCAAUGCAAAUUAGACGGAGGAUAAACACGUCCAAUAUAGUUAUUUUUAACUAGUAGGUGACAAGGAGAAACGAAAGUUUCACAAAUGAUUUCAAGAAAAUCACAAACAUUAUAUGUUAUUUAAAGAAAUUUUAAGGAAUGCUUGAUCAUUUGGCUUGAAUACCUCGUCAAGCUUUCUAGGAAAACUAAGAUAAACAUAAAUAUUGUGCGACAAUCACAAUUGAAAAUCGUAUUCAUCUAGAAUUCCUCUUUUGGAAUAAAUUUCAUUCCACGUGAUUCCCCACCUCUGCUGGCAUGAAGCUUGGUGUCGAACAUUUUCAGCAAUCAAGUAAAUUAAAUAAAUAGAAGGGUCAAAUAAGCCUAAUUGCCAAAAACUACUAAUAGUCCCUACCUCUUAAUUUAUUCAAAACAUCUAACGAGAAAACAACUUCAUUUAAAAAUUCCGUUCAACUUUUCUUCAAGUAUUUAAGAAUAUCAGAACUUCAUUUUUUAAUACCCUUUAUAUUAAAUAAUAGUCGUCUUAAAAUGACAUCCAAAAUAAAAGGAAGCAUUGCGGGAAGCAUAAACGACCACUACGCAAGGGGAUCCUUUGUUGAGACCUUAAAACAAAGAGGAUCUUCUGCAGUUAAAUUUCCUCUUGUGAUCUACAUUUAUCUAGGAUGGAAGUAGGAAAUGACAGAUAGAACCGUACAUAGAGAUCCAAAAUACAGAACACAUUGAUCAAGUCAAGCUACGUCACCUUCUGGAUUCCAGAAGUGAUCGUUGUUCUUGGGAUUUGUCAGACGAUAUAUCAUUCUCACUAGCAGAGUAGCUGCAAAAAAAGGAAACUAUAAACUGUAAGUUUAUGAUGAAGACGAUUUAUGCGCCAGACUUUGAAAAAUCAACAAUAAAGGAUACAACGUUAUCCCUCCCUUCAAGGUAAUCAAAAGGAGCAGAUUGAAUCAUGUUUCUAAUUUUUCUGCACAUAUUUCGAAGUCCCUGGCUCUGCUGCCCUUCAUCAGCUUGAUAAAUUUUUAACUCGUUUAAGAUUUUUUUUCCAUUUUCCAUCAUGAUUACUCUUACAAGUUGAGAGUACAUGCUUCUGUGUACAAAGUAUAUGCAUUACACAUAAACAAGCCCGUAAGUAUCCAAAACAAAUGAGGGUAAAAUAGUCACGUCCUUCUCAUGCAAGGUAUUUGUUUGCUAAAUAAGAUGGAAUUUAAUGCAAAACGAUGAUUAUUUGAAAAUGGCAAGCAAUAAACUAGCUGGAGAACGGACUCAGCACGUUGAAAGUUUUGAAAACGAAGACUAGUGACGAAGCACUGCAAUUCUAUUUUUUUUGAGAGAUCAUUAAUCGCUGCUGAACUGUCAUGCCAGAUAAGAGUAAACCAGAAUCACAAAAGGUAACUAGGAAAGGCUCCAAACGUAACCGUUCAACAUGUAUAAUCGAAACAAAAGUUACCUUUGUGGUAGAAUUUUGUUAGGCACAGAUGUGGUAUAAAGUGUUUCCUUCUCUGCUGCAAGUCGUUGAGCCUUCUGAAACUCCUUCAAAACUGCUUCAAAAUCUUUUGCAAGCUUCACAUCAGCAAUUUUCUUGCUGACCUGCGUCACACAAUAAAAAAUUUAAGUUUUAAAAAAACUGUUACACAGAAAGAAGAAAUUCCCCUCACAUGCAUGCAGAUAUUUACCCAAAAUUAUUUAUUUAGAACGAGUAUUUUUUAUGAAAGCGUAAAAUGAAUUCCAUAAACAUUGGUCUCAAUUAUCUUUGAACACACUGAAUGAGACUACUGGUAUUCCUUUGACCAAAUAUAUGACUAUAACCUCCUUGAAACCAAAGGGUUGUAAAAAUGCAUUUAACUAAACAGUGACUAUUAUGAUGGUCAGCAUCUCCUCGCCAUACACAUACACGGCCGCCCACCUCAAGGAAACAAUGCUCUUACCACGCAAAUAAAAUAAAAAAAUGGUAUUUCCAAGCAUCAUGGGUAAGAAUACCGAGAAAAAACCUUAUUGGUGAGCCCAAAAUCUAAUAUUACACAGAUUCGACUCAACAAAAAACUUAAUGGGGAAAUAAGAAGGAUAAAAGACUGCUCCUUUCAAGAAUAAAUAUAGCACUCAAAACAUACCAAUAAACUUCGUCAUCAACUAAAUAACUGUCAACAGAUUGGUGACUUUUAAUAACAAUUUUAGACUACACAAUGCUAGUUAUUUUAUCCAAAAGGAAACCAUAAAUGAUAUAGAGUUUCCUAAAUAUGAGUUAAAAUGAUGGCCAAUCUCUUGGGUAUUCUUAAUCCAUGAAUGAGAGAAACGGCAUUGCAGGAUUGUGGUUACAGUAGCUGCAGCUUGGUGAUCCGUUUCACUAGCUUGCUUCAAUUUGACAGACGUAUCUUUGACUAGCUGUCCGAUAUGCAAUCUUGUUUUAUGCCUGCCACCAAAUGACUCUCAGUCAAACCGUGACCACCGAGCCAGUGAAACAUUUGGGAGGAAAAAAAUCCACAAGUCAUAUUAUAAUAAAUUAGAGUAUACACAGACAAAUUACAUUAAACGAACUAUAGUGAUAGGUAGUUAACAACCCUAGCUGUAAUGUAGGUCACAUUAAUCCCGACUAAAAAGCUCAUCAAGGACAUGAGAGACAUAAAUCAGAGGGUAAUUUAUGGUUGGUAACCACUGGACAGUACAGUCUAUUGAUCAAGAGCUUUAUCUUCCUCUAUCUUGCUUCAGUAAUCUGAUUGAAAUUAGUUACUUAAAGAAGAUUUAAACAGUAAACUUUUCCUACAGAGACUGUCAUUAAAAAUGCCGUUUAGAUCAAGAGAAACUUAUUGCAUUAAUAAAAAUUUAAAAGUAUGUGCUUAAUCUCUCCCCAUUUCCAUUUAGUGGAAAUGAUUCACAUAGGAACGUGAAGGCCUUGGAGAAGCCGAUUGUUACGGAUCAAACCUUGAGCCAAGCCGGAAAUGUAUUAACCCGCUACUGCAUUGGAACCACAAUGUUUUCCUUCACUUCAAAGGAUCAAGUCAGCUAGUGUUUUAUUCCCUAGGUCAUAAUCAUAGUCGCAUUCUGACAAACUAUCGUAGUUCCAUGAAAAAAAUGAGAUCAUCGAUUCCACUAUUAACCACAUCGAAUGAUUCUACCGUGAUAACACUAUUCUACUCCGGCCUCAAAACUAUUCUACCCCUGCAACCUUCCAUUGCAUAUGCUCAAUCAUAUUUUUAUGGAUAGCCAAUAUACAUCUAUAUAUAUCGGUGAUCGGACCUGGAACCCAAGAGAAACCAGAAAUCUAAAACAGAAGACGAGGUGCAACUCACAGCUUCUCACGGAGAUCGGGGGUGUCCUUGGCGGUGCCGAGGGCGUUGACGAGGCGCUGGAAGGUGGAGACGGCGGUGUUGAUCUGGAAGACCCCCGCCGCCACGGCCUGCGCGGGGUCCUGCUUCCCAUUAAUCACCUCCCUCCUCCCUACCGUCUGCCUCCCGCUCACGAGGUCGGCGAAGCUCAUCUCUCAAACCGACCCCCGAUCCUCUUCUCCGACAACCCUUAGCUCGAAUUUCCCCUCCAAAAACCGCCCUCCCUUUCAGAUAAAUAGUUUUGGAAGCAGCGUUGCCCUAUGCCCGCCGGAAUCUACAGCUCCGGCGACCAUCGGAUUUCCCUCCCAACCAGAGUAAUUCGGAGACCGGAGUAUCAAUGCGAGAGAGAGAGAGAGAGCGAGAGAGAGAGAGAGAGAGAGAGAGAGAGAGAGAGAGAGAGAGAGAGAGAGAGAGAGAGAGAGAGAGAGAGAGAGAGAGAGAGAGAGAGAGAGAGAGACGUAGUNNNNNNNNNNNNNNNNNNNNNNNNNNNNNNNNNNNNNNNNNNNNNNNNNNNNNNNNNNNNNNNNNNNNNNNNNNNNNNNNNNNNNNNNNNNNNNNNNNNNNNNNNNNNNNNNNNNNNNNNNNNNNNNNNNNNNNNNNNNNNNNNNNNNNNNNNNNNNNNNNNNNNNNNNNNNNNNNNNNNNNNNNNNNNNNNNNNNNNNNNNNNNAGAGAGAGUUUGCUUCCGGCGACCCGGGGACGAGAGGGCAGGAGGUAUACGUUUCGCUUUUCAUUGCGUAUUAUGAAAGAAGAGAUAGAGCCAGCGUCUCAUGAUGCCACGACAUUUUAAAUACAGAUCGUGCUCUCUUUAGAACCUGCCUCACGCUCAAUUUCCAUCAACAUCGAUUCGUACACGUCUCAAAUUUGCCGACGGCCAGGAUCUAUUGGGGCCCACCAUCCGCCCAUCAGCGUGCCACCUGACGAGUGCGACCGCUUUGAAAUAACUGAACAGCCGGGAAACGGUUUAUCUUCUUGGAAUAUUUCAUUUGAGCCCUCCUUUCGACAAAGGAUGUAAAAAAAACCCUCUCAGCCAAAAAUAAACAUUUAAUUUUAUGAAAAAUAUAUAAAUAUUAAUUCAUUAAAAAUGGUUUUAUUAAGAUUUUAUUUUAACUUUGAUAAUCACUUAUUUUUAUAAAACUUAGGCUAAAUUUCCCAUUAAUAAGACAGUUUAAUUUUUUACAUAAUUUAAUAAUAUUUGUUCAUGUAAUUAUCAGUGAAAUGUUUUUUAAUAAAUUUAUUUAUUUAUUAAUGUGAUAUUAGAAAACCAUUAAAAAUAUAAGUGGUAUAUUUACUUAUUUAUGUAAAUAAAUUUUGGUUACGCACUUUGAAAUGAAAUUUACAUUUAAAUCAUAUCGUACUUUUAUAUUUCAGUAAAAAAUAUAACUAAAAAAAUACAUCUUUGACAUGAUUACUGAGAUAUUCCUUUAAUGAAAUAUUCUUUUUGUGAUUAAUUAUUGAGGCUGCAGGUCCGAUCGUUCCGUGCCCGUGCAUCUAAUUUGUCGUUUUAGGUAACGUGGGAAAAUAUGAGUGGAUUGUAUCUACGGGAUGUACGACAGUACGUACCGAGCGCCUCUUCCUCCUCCAUGCUCUUAUCUAGACUAGAGGGCACCUCACUGUUGCUCGUUCCAGCGGCAAUGGCGGACGUCUUCUCUUCCCUCUCCCCUGCUCCACCUCUCCGAGCUAUCCAUGGCGGAGGGAGAAGCAUUGAAUCCUCUCUCCUCCCACGGAGAUGGCAGCUUCUCUCAGUCCCUCCCCACCGUCUCAUUUCUGCCACCGCCGGCCGGAAGAAGAAGGCAGCGGAUAGGCCCGUUCUCUCUUGCUCCUGCGCCGCCCGCGGGACGCCAACUCCCACCAGGGUGCCGAGGAGGCAACCAAAUCGGAGGUCUUCUUCCCCGAUGAUUCCGGUGGUCAGCGAAGGUCGGGACGAGGACGGGGAUCUCAUGGUCUGCCCCGGUUGCGGCAUCGUCAUGCAGGACGCAGACCCCAACCUACCAGGGUUCUAUCAGAAGCCCCUCGGACGGAGGGCGGAGGUUUCUGGGGACGUGGAUGGAGAUUCCGGGAGCCUAGGGGAGGAUGAUUUCCUUGAGCUGUCGGAGGAGGAGGAGGAGGAGGAGGAGGAGAAGGUGGAAAUUGAGGGAUCCUUUUCCUUGUCCGACCUCGAUGAGGAUUCUGAGUCCGACGGAGAUUUGGAAGAGUACAGCCUAUCUGCAUCGGGAAUGGAUGAAGACGACGAUGUGCCGUCGGAUUGGGACAUUGAGGAGCUGGAGGAGGAAGACCAGACGGUGAAGAAGGAAUUGGAUGGAUUUGGUCCUGCCGGCGUGGGGUAUGGGAACAUCACCGACGAGAAUGUGAGGAAGCAGAGGGAGAAGCUUUCGAAGUCCGAGAGAAAGCGGAGGGCCAGAGAAGAAGCCAAAAGAGCCGUAGAGGACGCCGUCACAGUGUGCGCACGCUGCCACUCCCUGAGGAACUACGGCCAGGUGAAGAACGAGAAGGCAGAGAAUCUGAUCCCCGAUUUCGACUUCGACCGGCUCAUCGCCACCAGGUUGAUGAAGCCUGCUACCAGUGCUCCGGUGGUGGUCAUGGUGGUUGACUGCGUCGACUUCGACGGUUCAUUCCCAAAACGAGCUGCGAAGUCCUUGUUCAAGGCAUUGGAGGGGAACAAGGCCAAGCUCGCCAGAUUGCCGAAGUUGGUGCUGGUGGCAACGAAGGUAGACCUCCUUCCUUCUCAGAUAUCUCCGACUAGGUUGGACAGGUGGGUGCGCAACAGAGCCAAAGCGAAUGGGGCACCCAAGCUCAACGCCGUCUUCCUGGUGAGCGCUCGGAAAGAUCUGGGGGUUAGGAAUUUGCUCUCAUUCAUCAAGGAAUUAUCGGGCCCCCGUGGAAAUGUGUGGGUCGUUGGCGCUCAGAACGCCGGGAAAUCUACUUUGAUCAACGCCUUUGCAAAGAGGGAAGGGGUGGGGAUCACAAGGCUCACAGAGGCUGCGGUGCCAGGGACAACACUGGGGAUAUUGAGAAUUGCGGGAAUUUUGCCAGCAAAGGCGAAGAUGUAUGAUACUCCUGGCCUUCUGCAUUCAAAUCUGAUGACAAUGAGACUGAAUCGGGAGGAGCAGAAGAUGGUGGAGAUCCGAAAGGAGCUGCAGCCCCGGACUUACAGGAUCAAGGUAAUGAUAUGCUGGGUACCUUGAUAGAUUUCUGUGCCCUUUUUCUGGCCCAAUCUGGAGCUUUUUUUUAUGAUUUUUCUUUAUUCUCAUAGCAAGUUAGUGCUUGUUUUUAACUCUUCGAGCCUUCCAGUUCAUCAUUCUCUUCCGAUUCAUCAUUCUGACUUUAUUUUCCUGUGUGAUCCGGAACUGAAGAACGUGUUAGGUCAUGUUAUUUUCAGAACUUUCAGAUUGCCUUACACUGUAUAUCUAUGAUUAUUUCUGUUUGACUCCAUACAUUGAUACCUCAUCAAAAUUGAAGAGACUUCAUUUGCAUCAAAGUCGUGUGUUUUAGAGCAGGAAAGAGGAGAUCAUGGAGGUACCAUGGAAUAUAAUUUGAUCCUAUUCAUGGGAAUUCUGCGAGCAUUCCAUUCCAAAAAGAAUAGAAUCUGAAAACAUUUGGGACUUUCUGAGCGAUUCAACAUAGUUAUUCAUUCAUGAUACGUAUUUUCAAAAUACCGUCUCAAUUCAUCCUAUUUCAUCAGAUCUGGGAUGUGAUAUGGUAGUUCCGAAGGAUGAACCGGAUAUGGACAGUUCCAAUAAGAUUUCAUUCUUGAACAAAAAUCUGACAUGUACAGAAUGAAGUUUUCAUUCUCAGUUCCAUGAAACUUUUUAUGAAAGCGUCGUAGUUGAUUCUCCAGAAUGUGUUAUCAUUUUAGGCCUAUUUUUUUUCUUGAUGAUCGAUUCAACCUCUGAUAAAGAGGAUAAACCUUGGUUAUGUUACAUGUCUUCAAUAAGUUUAGUGCUGAUGGGAAAAACUUCUCUCACUAUGUGCUCAUUCUUGAGCCACACCUGAUGCCAUUAGCUACUCGUAAGAUGAUGCUGUCUGAAAAAGAACCACAGUUCAGGGAUUGAUCUUUCAAAUGUUAGUACAGUGAUUGAUGUUUAAAGGUGAACUUGAACAAUUUAAUUCUUAAGUUGUUGUUGUGUGGAUUUUUAUUAAUUUAUUUGCUCUAGUUUUUUAUUUUAAAACAUGAUGAGAAUUAUUUCGUGUUUAUCUCAGGCUGGGCAGACUGUUCAUGUCGGUGGCUUGUUGAGGCUAGACCUGGCGCAGUGUUCAGUCAGCACGAUCUAUGUCACAGUGUGGGCAUCUCCGAGUGUCUCUCUUCAUCUGGGCAAAACAGAAAAUGCAGAAGAAAUGUGGAACAACCAUGUUGGUGUGAGGCUUCAGGUGAAAAAAUAGCUGAUAUUUGUUUAUUCAUAAUGAACUCGCUAACAUAUAUGCCAGGAAAUUGAUUGCCAUGUUUCUAUCAAGGGUUACUACUGAGCGUUGAUUUUAAUUUCGUUAUUAUUAAAAUAAUCAUUUUUAUUCAUAUUUUGUUGAAAUUGAUUGGAUCAUUUAGGAUUGCGUUAAAAUUAAAAAAAGUCACAGAUAUUUUGCCUGAAUUAGGUGAAAAUCAUUACCAAAAAUGAAUAGAUUUCAAGAACAUGAAAUUAUGACGAGCCCCAAUCUUUGUUCUAUUCAUAACCAUGUUUGCCAUGUACAGCCACCGAUUGGGGAGGAUCGAGCAUCUGAGCUGGGCCAGUGGAACCCGAGAGAGAUUAAGGUAUCUGGAAUUAGCUGGGAGGUGAACAGUGUGGACAUUGCAGUGGCCGGGCUGGGCUGGCUCUCCAUUGGAUUGAAGGGAGAGGCCACUUUCCUCCUCUGGACAUAUGAUGGUGUUUAUAUAACACAGAGAGAGCCGCUGGUCAUCGACCGAGCUCCAUUUAUCGAGCGGCCUGGUUUCUUGCUCCCAAAGGCGAUCUCUGAUGCCCUGGCAAAAAAGAGUAAGAUCGAGACAGAAGCCAGGAAGGAGGAGGACGAUGAAAGCUGAUUUGUUCUCUCUCUGUCCCCAUGCCUCAGUAAGCAGUCUGGGGCUCUCUCUCUCUCUCUCUCUACAGAGGUUAGUCAGUCUUAGACUUUGUAGUUCCGGCUUCCAGUUUUUUUAUCAUCUACCCUCAUUUUUGUGCUGGUAUAGCGCUUUUCUCAAUGCAAUGCUAUCAGUCUGGAGAAACAUAUACCCGUCUGCCCUUCUUAAUCAGGAAAUAUUUUUUUGGUAAAUUCUUUAUUUAUGUCCUUUAUGUGAUGAAAUGUGGGUGUUCAUCUGAAAAUUUUUUCGCAGUUACUUGAUUAGAUCAUUAAUCUAGUUCUAAGAUCUGAAACUAGCAAACUUACAUGUUUUCGGACCAAAGAUUCCCGUUCCAAUCAUCUCAUUAUUUCGCUAAUCGAAUGAUUAUUCAUUCCACAGGUUCUUUUUAUCGCGGCAUCAUGUAUACUUAUAAUGUUUCACCUCUGAAUUAUAUGAUACUUCCCUAGAGCAUCAUUUUAGUGAUCAUAAACCUGAGAUAUGACUAGAAUUUUUUACAGUUACAGGCCAUCAAGAGGAGGAUUUUCCUGAAACAUUUAGGAGAUGAGGUUCAUCUGUUGUUGGUUGCUGUAAUUAGUUGCAGGUUUGAGAUUAAGCUAAUUGAAAGUUUAUUCACAAUAAAAUCUGAUCGGAAGCAGAGUUUUUGCCCAUCUAAUUUUUUUUGAUAAAUGUAGUAAAAGAAAUUAGUUUAUUUUUUAUUGCAUUAUAAUGAUUUUUUAGCAGGGUGAUCAAUGUGCCGGGUGGGCCCAAAGCCUCACUUGGCCGUGGCUAUUUUCCCUGCUUUGUUCUUCGAAAUAUAUAUAUAUAUAUAUAUAUGAUAUUUUCUCUCAAAAUAUGUUGUGAUAAAUUAUUUAUUGCACUAGCUUGCCUCUUUAAUAAUUUUUUUCUUUGGGUUUCUGCUCUCCAAUAAUGGUCUUCUGACCCAGACAGGUCGGUAAUUUGACUAUUAGCAAUAAAUGAUAUGAUUUUUCUGAAAAAAUAUCUUAAAAUUAUUUAUUGAACUAGUUAGCCUCUUUUAUUAUUAUUAUUAUUAUUUUUAUUAUUACUAUUACUAUUACUAUUAUUGUUGGGUUUUUGCUGCUCUCCGAGAAUGGGUCUGCUGGCCCAGGCCUGUUGGAACGAACCUGCGGGAGGCCCACACGUGUAGCUGCGCAUGGAGACCCAUCCGGGCCUCUCCACACGUGUUCACCUCCCCACCUAUAAAGCGAACCCCCACCUCCCUAGAGAAACCUCUGAAACUCUUCUUACCGCCGCCGCCGCCGCCGCCGCCCCCGCCGCCGUUGAGAGAGAGAGAGAAAGAGUGAGAUCGCGGGCAUGGCCGAUCGUCAGCCCGGCCCACAGCGGCCGGGCGGCGCCGCCGCCAUCUUCCGGGGGCUCCGGCAGCGUCCCCUCAACUCUUCCCAGAUUCUCGGGUUCCUCACGCUGGCGGUGUCGGGAGGGAUCCUCCUCCUCCUGACGGGGUUGACCCUGACGGCCGCCGUCAUGGGCCUCAUCUUCUUCUCCCCAAUUCUGCUCCUCUCCAGCCCCCUGUGGGUCCCAGCGGCGGCGCUGACCUUCGCGGCGGUGGCGCUGCUGCUGUUGACCUGCGGCUCCGGCGUGGCCACGCUGGCGGCGGCGUCGUGGGCUUACAAGUACUUGAAGGGGGGGCGACCGCCGGGGUCGGACAGGGUUGACUUUGCCCGCAGCCGCAUCGCCGACACCGCCGGGCAUGUGAAGGAGUACGCCAGGGAGCACUACGGUGGUUACCUUCGCGGCCGCGUCAAAGACGCCGCCCCCGGGGCCUGACCCGGCGGCGCUGCCGUCCCUCCUCCGAUGCGCUGCCGCGGAGCCCCCCUCUCUUCCUCUGCCCUCUCUCUCUCUCUCUCUCUCUCUCUCUCUCUACUCUAUUGUAUGUCUCUCUCUCUCUCUCUCUCUCUCCUCCNNNNNNNNNNNNNNNNNNNNNNNNNNNNNNCUCUCUCUCUCUCUCUCUCUUCUCUCUCUAUCUAUUGAUGUCGUCUCUCUCUCUCUCUCUCUCUCUCCCCCUGUUCAUAUCGAUGCGGCUCUGUUUUUUGUCCUUCCAUCGAAGUUCGAUCUACUGGUAAUAUAUAUGGAAUUAUAGUUGAGUUUUGGUGGGUUUUCAAUUAAAAGAAAAUAGGGAUCUGUUUUCGGCCGCGAAACUCAUGAAAAAUAAUGUAUUAAUAUAUUCAUCAAUUUUUGUUCAUACCAACGGAUCUGUUUUCGCUUUUCAUCUACGUUCUAUCUACUAAUAAACAUCUCUCUAUCUCUCUCCAGAUAUAUAUAUUUAUAUAUAUAUGGAAUUAUAGCUGAGUUUUGAUGCAUUUUUAGAUUUUUUUUAAAUAAAUGAUUCCCUUAUUUAAUUAAAAGAGAAUUUAAAAUUGAAUAAGAUGGUCUACAAGGACUAUAAAAGGGGUCAAAUCAGAUGCGACCCAUAGUAAAAUGCAUCAUAAAGGUAUUAAAUAUAUCUUAAAUAUGCUUUAAGAUAUCAUCUGCCUUAAUAAAAGCUUGACAUAUUUAAAGGUUUCAUGUUAUAGUCUUAUAAGUAAUUAUUGAGCAUUUUAAAAUUUUAUUUCUUUUCAGAUUCUCUCUUUAGCAACAUUUUUUGUCACCUUUUUAGUGGAUUCAAGGGUUGAAGCUUCCAAGUCUUAUAGAUUUUUCAAAUAAAAUUUAUUUUUAUUGCGUUCAAAGAUGAGAUUUCAUUUCUACUCAAAUGACGUCAUACUGAAUAUUAGAGAAAAUCAUAUCUUGUGAUUCAAGGUUUUAUUUUUGAUCUUCUCUAGCUCUAGAUUCAUGUAUUGUGAAUUUAAAUCUCAAAUCUAUUAUACCUAUGUAACUCCAACUCUAUCAAAUAAUUAUUAUGUCAUUUCUUGCUGCAUCAAUUGGUAUUAUAUUGAGGAUUGGAGAAAAUCGUAUCUUGUGGAUUCAAAUUUCUAUUUUCACUCUUUCUUACCUCCAAAUUACUAUAAUGUGGAUUCAAGAUUCAAAUUUAUGAUCUUCAUAUCUUAAACUCCAUCACAUUGUCAUUUGAUAAUUUUUUGUUACAUUAUGAAACUCAUGAAAAAUAAUAUAUCAUUAUAAUGGUUAAUUCUAAAUAUACUUUUGAGUAUAUUUUUAAAUUUUAAUUAAAUACUAUUUUUAAUUAUAAAUAUACACUAAAAAUAAUUUCCCUGUUUUUAAUUUUAAAAAUAUUUUUUUGGGAGAUCCUCUUGUUUGGUCCAACAUGAGCCAUCUGAUAUUAUCAAAAUUGUGGGUCAACUUUCCUAAGCCCACCUUGAUGAGCAUAAUAAGUUGUGUCUAGGACAAACAUCACCUCAUGUGUAGGUGUAUCAAGAUCCGCACCUAGCAAAGAGCAUUAUAUAUGUGUGGUGAUAUUAGUUUCUUCACUUUUAGUUCCUUCGAAUUUACUUAAAUGUUUCUUAGAUUUGUUUUAACAUAUCAUCAUAACUAUACUACUUUUUUAGGAGCAUCUUGCUAGAAAAUCAGACAUAUUUGAAGGCUUCACGUUACGACAGUAAUUAUCGAGUAUUCUGAAAUUUUAUUUAUUUUUAUAUUCCAUCUAUUUAAUAAUAGUUCAUGUGACCUCUUAAUAGGUCCUAGAGAAUGUCUCGAUUAUGUGGAUUCAAUAUUACUCAAUUUUGGAUUGAAAGGUUAAAGCUUUCAAGUUUUGUAGACUUUUCAUCUAAAUUUUAUUUCUUGUGAAUUCAAAUAUGACAUUUUAUUUUUUUAAUGCAACUUUGGUUAAGUCAAUUAGUAUCAUAAUGAAGAUUUGAGAAAAUCAUAUCCCAUGAUUCAAGAUUCUAUUUUUGCUCUUCUUUACCUCUUAGAUUCAUCAUAUGUUGUGAAUUUAGAUCUCAAACUAGUUAUCUUUGUAACUCAAACUCUUAUAAAAUCAUUAUUUUGUCAUUUCAGGUUACAUCAAUUGGUAAUAGAUUGGUAUUCUUUACCUCCAAAUGAGUGACUAUGGAUUCGAGACUUAAAAUCUUUUAUCUUCACAACUCGGACUCUAUCAGAUCAUCAUUUUAUCAUUUUCAAUUGCAUGAUGAAACUCAUGAAAAAUAUUUGUAUACAUAUAUUAUUUUAAUUUUAAUAAUUAUUUAUAAUUUAGUACUCUUUUUUGAUUUCUAGUAAACUUUAAAAAUUAUUUUUUUUAGAGACCCCGUUGUUUGGCUCCAUAUGGGCCCACUUCACUAACCCCACUAUAUUUUUAUUUUAAAUAAUAUUAAGUUUUUUUGCAUUUUUCCUUUUUAAAAUGUUUUUAAAGUAGGCACCAAUGUUUGGUUCCCAUAUGGGCCAUCUGGCGGCGUCAAAAUUGUCGGCUAAGCCCACCUCGAUGCGCUUAAUGGGCCAUUUCUGGGCCCCAGAUCAGACAGUGUGUGUGUAAGGGGGGUAUCGAGAUCUGCACCUCCGCGAGUGAGGUCACCGGCUCUCGCUGUUAUGGCGAAGCACACUAUAAACGAGGAGUAGAGUUUAGAAAUCUUCAUUUGAGCUCCAGUCGGAGGUCGAGCAGAGGAGGUCAUCCUGGCCAUGGCGUUGAGCUCGGUGUCGUUCCCGUCGCCGCUGUGUGAGCUUGGGAAGCGGCCACCGCUUCCUCGGCGGAGCUGCGUCGUCGCUGCGGGGAAGCUUCUCACAGUGCGUCGAUUCUGGAUUUCAUCUGUUUGCGUCUGGGAGUCUCGCCGAUUGUUGUCCCUGCUGUUACCAGUUUUGGGUUGGGGGAAGGAAGUGUUCGGAUUUUCCUUGGGGGAGGCUUUGGAUUUUUCGGUGUGGGUGGUGCGUUUCGAUUGGGAUGGACGGGAUUAUGUGCAGACAUUUGAAGGUUCUUUCUAUUUUCUGAGGAAUAUCGAGGGCCGUGGUCUCGAUUUUUCGCCCUUUUGCGUGAUAAUUUUUGAGCUAGCGUGUAGCAUUUCGAUGGCCAUCUUGUAUUUUUGCAUGAAAAUUAAUCAAUAGACCUUCGUUUUUGAGAUGUCAUCGAAAGAAAUCUCGAGUAUUUUCUGUUCUAGUCUAAUUCAACUGAAGUAGUCCCAAAAAAGUGUGUUUAAAAAAAAUCUUCUCAAAAUGAGAGGUUGUUUUGUUUUAGUUUUUAGAACAGAUACCAAGUGAUUCUAACUCAAUUAUUUGCGAGUACUGUAACUGGUUUACAGAUGUAUCCAUUUGAUUCCAACAAAGCUUUCUGUCUUGUAAUCACUCACUAGGUCUUUCAAGGUGCUUGCAACCUGUAGUCCCUCUGGUUAGGGUUUCAAUAUGUUACCUAGGAUGCGCUUCUGAUUCCUUUAAAACACUUGGAAGCCACAUGGAAGAGCCCAAAAUGAGAGUCUUCCUGUUCCAACUUCUGAUAAGAAAAUAGUCCGACUACACCAUCUUUUCCAUGAUGUGAUCUUGGAUAAUUAUAAGGGAAAAUGUCUCUUCAGAAUGUGCUUAUGAAGAACCCCUGUCCUUUGAGCUGACUUAUUUUUUUAUUUAUUUAUGGCUAUUAUUGGCAUGAUCAUGAUCUUGCGCCUCUGAAUAACUUGGUUGGAGGAGACAAUUAUCCUAAUUUCCCUCUUUCUUCACAUGUGCAACAAGAACAUAGAUAUAUGCAUUUGCAUCCUAAGUUUGUGAACCAUCAUUUGACAAGAAGAAAGAGAGGAGGGGCAUGAGUAUCUCAAUAAACCAUAGUUAAUUGUUGCAUAUGCAUGCCAUUUUCAUCGGGUACUGUAAUAAGUAAUUUCUCUCCAGGAAUAGCGGCAUUAAAAUUUUUUUUUUCCGCUAUCGGGUCUUCUCUGGAUGUAUAAGCUUAUUGGAGAUGUAAUGUCCAAGGUUCAUUCUGCAAUCCCAUUUCUGAAAUUAGGAAGGAUUAUACAUACCCAUGUACAUAUGGAUGUGAAGAUAUUGAAGCAUCGCUGAUCGCUGAUGGAGAUGGAUAAAGAAUUUGUGGUUUAGGUUAUAUAUAUUUGAAUAAUAUGUGGAAGAAUAUAUAUGGGAGCAUGCCGGAGUGUUGACGAAGGUGAAGAAGAAUCUGUGGUUUAGGUUUGUAAAGGCUGAGACUUCGUCUUCCAACUUGGGGGCUGUGUUGGAGAUAUCCAGAUAUAUCAAUCACAAGAAGCAAACCUGCUGGAAGAGAUUUAGAGCUUGUCCUAUAAGAGUCUCUGAUGAUCACGCUGGUAUUUGCAGUAGAAAUCCCUAUAGCUGGUCCUCAGUGUUUUUUUAUGAUUUUUGGAGAUUUCAAUCCUUUGAAAUCUCCUUUCAUCCAUAAUUCUCUUUGCCAAUAUCAUCGAGCACUAUCUUGAUAAGGUAUGUUCUUCCACUUGCAUUUUCAUGCUGCUUUAUUUUAAAUUAAAAUGCCCAUUUUCCUUUUCUCUCUCAAUAUCUUGAGGUUUGGCUGUAUAAUCUGCAAAUCUGAUGAUCUGGGCAUGAUUGUUGAGCAUCAUAUACCUGAAUUACGAUUAUAAAAGUGGGCACAGGGACAAUGAUUCUGACGCUGCUAAGAAAAAAAUGGAUAAGGGAUUCUGGUUAGAUUUUAUUAUGUCUUUGAUGUUUCCAGUUGACAAUUCGGACGAAUCUGUUGAGACUUGAGCAAACUAUUUUUAUUUUUUUAAUGAGAAUCUGUUCCGUGGUUGAGCUAAUAACAUCCUCCCUCACGCCAUCUUCAGCAUCGUAGGCUGUGUUUCUUGACAGGAUCUUAAACUCAGGAGUUCAUCUGUUUGUGACAACAGAGAUAAAACAAGUCAAAGAUAACAAGUCAAACUCUUUACUACAUACUGCUUUGGGGGAUUUUUCAGUUGAUAAUUCAGAUGAAUCCAGUGAUAUUUUAAUGCCUUUUUUUCUUUUUUUACUUAGAAUGAGAAUCUAAGCUGUGCUUGAGCUGCUGAUAUCCUCCUCCACAUCAUCUUCAACUCGUCAACUCUAUUUCUUGGCAGGGGCCCGAAGUGGGCGUUGACCCUCAGCCACCCGCUGAUAAUGGCUUCACCAGGAGGGCCGCCAUGGUGUGCUUGGCGGUCUCUCUGGUUGCCUCAAUCUCAGCCGUCAGCCCUGCGGAAGCCCGCAGAAUCAAGCCAGAGACCAUUAGAAAAAUCCGGGAGAAGCUCGAGAAGAUGAAGAAGAAGGCUGACUCAGGCGCUGGCGGAAGCAAGGAGAACCCGUCUCUCCCACGCCCCUCACUCAGCGAUUUGGCCGGGCCUCUGGUUGAGAUUGCGCUCUGAAAUGGGGCCAGAAAAAUGUACCUAUUAAUAAACUAGAUUCUUAUGUUAAUUAUUUCCUUAAAUUCGUCAAAUUAUGGUCAAUAUAUAAAUAGGUAUAUAAUGUAUUUUUUAUAAAAAAUUAUAGAUCAAUUCAACUUGAAUAAUUAAUGAUGAGAAUAGGGUGUUCUUGAAAUUUUUUUCUCAUAGAACUCAGAAUGAUGAAAUAAACAUGAUUAGAAAAAAAUUAAUGGAAGGGGUUUGUGGAGACGUCACCCCUCAAGAAAAGAAAAAGAGACUAACCUCCAUUCAUAAGAGCAAAAAGAAAAAAACAGGAAAAAAACCUGAGGAGAUGAGCUCUUCAUCUCUCAUCUGGUUAUUAAUUGUACAGGAAGAUGGGCCAGAGGAUCAAUGGGUUCUCUCUUCAUCUCCCCAUCUUCUCAUGAUAGCGAGAGAGAGAGAGAGUUUUAGAGAGAGAGAGAGGGUCGAUUCAUGCCCUCUUCUUGUUCAUGUUGGUGACAAGGUGGCCCAUCUGGAACCUCCAGUAGAGGAAGUAAGCGAGUCCCAGGCCCAUCAGCACCAGCCCCACCACCCACUCCCCUUCCUUCUCCCUCUCCCACUCCAACUCCUCUAUCCGGUGCUCCGCCCCCAAUCCGUCCCCGACGCCGCCGCCGCCGCCGUCCUCCGCCACCAAAACAUACACACUCCCCUCCCGCGGCGCCACGCCGCCAACCCGCCGCCCCUCUCCGCCGCCGAUCGCAACUUCAUCGUACACCGCUGCCUCGCUCCACCCGUCGUCGCUGACCAAGAUCCGGGCUUUGUCCCCCCCCCGCCACCGCCGCCGACCCGUCCUUUCUCACGGCGAUGUAGGCGGCGGUGGCGCCGCCACCACCGACGCCGCCGAUCAGGACGAGCCUGGCUUUGCCGUCAUCACUAUCCACCUUGAAGAUCCUUCCUGGCGGCGCCUGUAAGGCCAGAAAGUACCCCUUCGUGCUGCGCGCGAAUCCGGCGAGGCCCACGUGGCCGCCCUCCCCGUACGCCGCCGACGAGGAGAAGACGGUGACUUCUCCCUGGAGGUCAACCCUCCAGAUAAGGUUAUCCCCGGAGCUGGUGACGAAGGCGGCGCCGCUGGAGGGAUCGACGGCCACGGCGGCGGGCGGGGCGGAGGAGGGGAGAGGAGAGAGGAAGAUGCGUCGGUGGGGCGGGGAGUUGCAGGUCGUAGGCGGCGAUGUGGGCCGCGGCGCCGCCGGCGCCGGCGACGGCGGCGAGGAGGCGGCGGCGGCGGUCGUCGAGGGCGAUGGCGGGGAAGUGGGAGUUCGGGGGGAGGAGAGGAUCGUCGAUGAUGGUGUCGAGGACGCCGGCGUCGGAGACGGAGGAGACGACGGGGAGGUCGCCGGAGCCGACGAGGAAGUGCUGGGCGGAGGGGUCCCAGAGGAGGGAGGAGGGGCGGAGGGAGGGGGAGCGGAAGGAGAUCUCGUGGCGGCGCCGCCCGGUGGCCGCAGCGGCGAGAAGGAGGAGGAGGACAAGGAAGAGCGGGGUGUUCGCCGGCGAGCGGCGGCGGAGGAGGGCCAUCGCGUUUCCCGGCGAGGUCGAUCGUCUCUGGGCAAAUUUCUCCUCGUAAAGGCGUCGCCUUUAUCGGCCUCUGGGCAGAUCGGCGGCGGCGGAGCGAUCUCUGGUUUAUACUUUAUACCUUAACCAAACGGUCGUCGUGGGCGGCCAAACUCCGGGUUCCGGCCCGGCCCGAUCAACUUUUUCUCCCAAAACCUAUAUAUAUAUUUAAAUCCCAGCAAUAAAAAAGCCCGGGAAAACAAAUUUCGGGCCGACGAUUUUGUUCAAAAGCCCAUCAAUGAAUUUUGGGCCGAAUUCUAGGGGAGGCGUGGGCUCGGCCCGAUGUUCCACACUAGAAAGAGCAAGUCAUCGGGGUAUUUCCCAAAUGCGGUUGGGUAUAACCAUUCAUAUUUUUCCUGAAAUGGAUAUAAACGCAAAAAGUUUAUUUUUUCAGUAGAUCUACCUUCACUUGUCUUUUGGUUGUAUUUUCAGGCAUAACUAUUUAGAAAUUAUCAUUUAGGAAGAGAUCCAAAAUAAGAAAGUUGUGUUUUAAAAAAUACCUUUUAGAAAGAAAAACUAGCUCAUGCUUUAAACAAGUCAACAUACGGGUCAACUCAAGUGAGUCAUCUCAAUAAAACGGUGUCACUAUUGGAAAGUAAAAUAAUGAGGAGAAAGAAACUUGUCAAAAAGAAGAGUUAAGUGUUGACAUGUAUGUUAACUCAUCAACAUGUAAGUCAAACUCAAGAGAGAGAGAGAGAUAAAUGAGGAUUCUUUCUAAGAACUAAACAUUAGAUGUCUCAUACCAUAUUGAUAGCUCCAAGAACAUCUUUAGUCAAUCGUAAUGAAUCCUAACACAUCAAAAGAUUAAAAUGUGUACAAUCUCUUGUUGACCAGUAUGCAAAACAAUUCAAUCAAAAGCUGGUUGAUUGAGUAGGCUUACUACUUAAACUAUGCUAUAGGUUGACUCAAAAUCUCUUGUUGAUUAAUAUGCAAGAAAAAGAUUUCAAAAACCAUCCAAUUGAGUAGACUUAUUGUAUAAACUAUGUUAGGGGUUGACUCAAAACCUCUCAUUAACAAGUACAUGAAAUAAUUCAAUAAAAAACCAGAAAAUUUAAUAGGCUCAUUACGUAAAUUAUACUGUGGGUUGACAUCGGGAUUGACUCAAAAUCUUUAGUUGGCCUAGUAUGCAUGUACCACCAUUCCCUUCGUAGCACACUGUUCAUGGUAGUCUAGAGACCCACCACCCCUAAUAUGCCUUCAGCAUACCUAACAUCCCCUCAUACUAGUUGAGGGUUAUCUAUUACAAAGGGAUCUUGUGCUACAACAACUCAAGCAUAAUCUACUAUAAGCCUAACAAUACAUGAAGGCUGUAGUAGACAUUCAUCUCAAAGACAUCCACUUCAAAAUUGAUGAGGUAUGUUUUUUGUAAAAAACAUACCUACUGUAGCCACUCUCUUCAACACCAACACAAUGAGAAGCUAUCCUCUGUGUACUCUAGACCUUUCCUUAUUAUCGUGUGCAUCAGUCUUGUUGCCUACAAAUUGUAGCUAUCGGACACUACAACUAUCCAUAUGGUGUUCCAUAUCUUUCAACUGAGGUAACAUCUGAACGUUAGCGAGCAACUAAUACCACUAUUUGUGGGGCACUCACUAGAUGACCCAUCGCCACCAAAGAACCACAACACAUAUCUGACAACCUCAAUAGAAGCACUUCUUAAACCCCUUGACACACACCUCAAGGAUGAAGUGUCUUCCACCCUAGGAAGUCAUGUUACACAGGGCCCAACUCCGAGCCUGUCCCCAAUGACAGCGCAACACUGAGCGACACAACACAUGGCAUGAAUGCACGAUAAGGUAGACCACAAGCCUGGUGACUGAGACGGACGGAUGAAAAUGGCAUCACAAUACCGUGACGGAGCGACGAGGUCGAUGGCGUUAACCUAAUGGAGGAAGUGACGGAUGACACGGACAUUUAGUCUCAUACUGUAUGUAAGUUAGAAUGACCAGAGGCGGGGGCUUAUUUAAUGAGACCCACCGCCACCGCUACGAGCACCUUUUGGUUGAUCCUAUUUUGUGCACUCGGUAUUCAGUUGGGUUCACAAAGAAUCAUGACUCUGUUCGGUAAGGAUCCGAGUAGAGCCACUUGUAAGCCUUAUAAUAGUGGUAUUAGAGCCAGAACUAAGGUUAGUAACCCCACUUACUGGCCCAAAUUUUUUUCCAUAUGCCUGUUGAGAGACAAAUGGAAGCCAAAGGGGGACGUGUCGGAGCCGACGGCACGUAGGGACAGCAGAUCGCCCGGCUUGCCAAACAAGUCGAGUCGUUGACAAGUCUUGUUAACUCGCUCUCCAGCCAACUUCAGGUAUAGACCAACAUAAUCCAUCGAGACCUAGAAGACCAAUAGCAAACCCAAUCCUCCGACAAUGAAACCCUCGGUCGAAAGAUGGACGAGGAGAUUAUGAUGUUGUACACUCAAAUUGGAGAGAUGGCCACGUCCUUCGUGGCCCAACGAGAAGAACAUGACAAUAGGUUUAAUAGGAUGUAGGAGCAACUUGAUAGGAUGUAGGCGCACCUCGAGAGAUUGGUGAAAUUGAUUGAAUCCAGCACUACCACCACACCAACUCGGGUGAAAGCCCUAGAGCCCCAACCCUACGCCGAGAAGCAUAAUGCCAUGGUGAUCGAGAACUUCUUGUGAGACAUGCAAUGUCACAUGAAAACCAACAUAGCAUCAGAGGCAGACAAGGUAUUCCUUGCCAGUCUCUACCUAGUGGGACAUGCCAAGACCUAGUGGUACCUCCGAGUUGAGGAUACUUCACAACCAUUGAUAGAAAGCUGAGCAGCCUGGGCAUAGGAGCUCAGAACAUAGUUUCGCCCUGCAAACUCUAGACAAGUGAUGCGGACAUGAAUGUGUUAACUCAAGCACGACGGGUCCAUCUAAGAAUAUGUGAAAAAGUUCUCCACGCUAGUACUUGAGGUACCACGGAUGGACGAGCAAGACAAGCUCCACUAUUUCACAGAAGGCCUACAACCAUGGGCCCAAAAUGAAUUGUGGCAAUAGAAUGUUCAAGAUUUACGAUCGGCUUUGAUUAUCAUAGAUGGAUUAGUUGACCAGCUUAGAAACCUAAUGGAGGCAAAUGGGGAGAAGUCAAUCGGGGGCAGGACCAAAGAUAAUGUGCAAUAGAGGUGGCCCAAUAGCAGCAGAGGGGACAAUGCAGGAUGUCAGCAAGCUACAGCUCUCGAGGGACCCAUAUAGACCACUGACUAUCCCGAUCAGGUUGACUGGUGAAUGACUUGGGCUCGACUUAACUCUAUCGUGACCCAAGAGUUGACCCGCCCACUCAUUGAAGAGGUACCUAAUAGCCACACCUUUCCAUUGCCCAAUGCUUUACAAAACAAGGAAGCUCAAGCAAGACUGUGACAGCUCCUAUUCGUGGAUUGUGAAUUGAGUGGAGUUCUAGUUCACGUACUAGUGGACUCGAGCGCGACUCACAACUUCCUUGCAGUUUGAGAAGUCCGACGGUUGAAUCUCAAGCUAUCAACAACCACCAACCAGGUGAAGAUGGUUAACACUGUGGUGAGGAACACAACGGGCAUCGCAAAGGGCAUGACCACUCGAGUCGGGUAAUGGUACGAUCAGCUAGAUUUUCUCGUCCUCUAAAUGGACGAUUUUGGGGCCAUUUUGGGGGCAGAUUUUGCACUCAAAGCAAAGGUAGGAAUCUUCCUACACUACUAUGGACUAAUCAUAUGUGGGGGAGACCAACCGUGUUUCGUAUAGGGUUCACAGUAGGAGACAACGAAACCCAACUAAUCUUGGCCCACCAACUCCAGCGGGAACAUGACCCAUAAACCGCCACAUAUCUUGUGACAAUACAAGAGGAAAGGGAAGUGAACCCAAACACUCCUCAUCCACAAGUAUCCUCACUCCUUCUGGACUUUAAUUUCUUCAUAUUAGAACAGUUGCCCGCGACCCUACCUCAACGAUAGAAGAUUGAACAUUUGAUUGAACUUCUACUAAGGGAGAAACCAUUAGCCCGAGCUCUAUACAAGAUGACCCCAACACAAUUGAAGGAACUGAAGAAACAACUUGAAGAGUUGCAACACGUGGUACACAUUUGACCAUCGCACGUACCCUUCGGCACUCCGAUAAUCUUCGAACAAAAAAAGAUGGGUCAUUAUGAUUGUGUGUUGAUUAUAGGGCGCUCAACAAGAUCACAGUGAAGAACAAAUACUUCAUACCCAAUGCUAACGAGCUCUUCAACCAUUUGGGCGGUGUGCAGAUCUUCUCAAAGUUAGGCAUGAGAAACGGAUACCAUCAAGUGCGGAUCAAGGCAGGAGACAAACCGAAGACGGCAUUCGUCACAUGCUACGGGUCCUAAAAAUUCACCGUAUGCCAUUCGGGUUGACCAAUGCGUCAGCCACAUUUUGUACACUCAUGAAUUACAUUUUUUGUACUUUUUUGGACAAAUUCGUCAUGGUAUACCUCGACAAUAUUAUUAUCUACAACAUGAUGAUGGAGGAACACUUAGAACAUCUGUUGGUGGUUUUCAACGUCCUUUAGGUCCAUCGACUAUACCUCCCCACCAAGUGUGUCUUUGACACCUAAGAAGUCGGUUUCUUGGGCCACAUCAUGGGCCACAACCAGGUCAAGAUGGACCACUCCAAAGUGGCCGCGAUUGACCAGUGGCCCUCACCCACAGUCGUCACCAAGCUAUAAUCUUUCAUCAAGCUCACAAAUUACUACAAGAAAUUCAUCCGAGAUUUCUCUCGGAUUGCCGCCCCACUGAUGGACCUCCUCCGGAAGGACAGGAGAUGGGAAUGGAGCGCAGCAUGUUAGUAAGCCUUCGACCAAGUGCAACUCCACAUUACCUCUAAACUUGUUCUCUACCUCCCCGAUUUCUCUCUCUCCUUUGAGGUGCACACGAAUGCGUCGGACUACGCCAUCAGCAACAUACUAAUGCAAGUGGGCCACCCAGUGGCUUUUGAAGGGAGGAAGCUUAGUGACACCGAGCGAUUGUACUCGGUGCAUGAGAAGGAGAUGACCGCAAUGGUCCACUACAUGCGGACAUGGUGCCAUUACCUCCUCAGAUCUCACUUUAUAGUCUUCACUGACAAUGUGGUGGCGAGUUGCUUUGCAACCCAAAAGAAGCUUAUGUCCAAGCAGGCGAGGUGGCAAGACUUUCUCGCCAAAUUUGACUUCACCCUCCAAUAUAAAUUGGGGCAUGCAAAUGUGGUGGCGGAUACCCUCAGUCAUCAGGAGACCCCAGCAAGCCUCGCUGUGACUUCCAUAGCCACGAGGGACAUCGUCGAUGCCUUUAGAUCAACCUAUUUGAUAGACCCAUCAGUCAAAUAGCUAUUGCAACAGAUCGAGACUUGAGAAACCUACUGCUUUUGGGUCGAAGAUGGGGUGAUAAAUGCAGAUGGUCGGCAACCAUAUGUCCCCACUGGGGGGCAGCUUCAAUGACAACUCCUACGAGAAGUACACGACGUACCUCAUGCUAGACACUCAGGGCAGCAGCACAUGUUGGCUCUCCUCGUAGGCAACUACUUUUGGCUAGGCAUAGAGCAGGACGUUGAAAUGUAUGUGCGUACCUGUUUGAUGUGUCAACAAGACAAAGUGGAGCAUCGAUCCCCACAAGAUAUGUUCGAGCCGCUCCUUCCUCCAGAAGAGCCGUGAGACUUUAUCUCGAUAGACUUCAUCACCGAGCUUCCCCGGGUUGACAGUCACGACGCCAUACUUGUGAUCGUUGACUGCUUUUCGAAAUAUGCUAUGUUUUUACUUACCUGAACGGAGUGCAAAGCGGAGGAGACUGUGGAGCUGUUCAUGCAGAAUGUUGUCAAGCUAUGGGGGAUACCGCAGAGCAUUAUCUUAGACCAUGAUUCCUAUUUCACCGGGCAGUUUUGGACAUCACUAUUCACCUUACUUGGGACACAACUCAACUUCACUGCCUUCCACCUGUAGACGGGCGGUCAAACCGAAUGGGUCAAUAGCAUGUCGAGUAAUACCUCCGCCAUUACAUCUCCACCAAACAUGACAACUAGGUAAGUCUCCUCAACCUUGCCCAAUUCACCCACAGCUCUUGCUAUAGCUCGGCCACGUGUAACUCGCCGUUCAAACUGGUCCUCGACAAACAUCCAUUAUCUCCCUUGAAAGUGGCCAAAUAGUGUGACCUGGGCUAACUAUCGACAGCGUAUCGGUAUGCCCAACAUCACGAGGAGCUACUAAAGGAUGUGCGGAAAGCCCUCACUCGUGCUGCAUGAUGGAUGAAGAAAUACACCGAUCGUCACCAGCGAAAAGUCAACUACCAAGUGGGCGAUUGGGUCCUUCUCUGCCUCCUUCCUAACCACAAGAGUUUACAACAAUUGAAGCACCACAACGGGUUGGUCCCGCGGUACGAUGGUCUAUUUUGAAUUGUGGAAUGGGUGGGUCGUCUCACCUUGUCUCCCAAUACAUCCAGUGUUCCACAUCUCCCUCCUUAAGGUGUACCACAUGGACAAUGACGACCCAACUCGGCAUCAACCACACUGGCGACCACCAACGGUCUAGACACAUUUCACCGAGCAGGUCAAAGACAUCCUUGCGCAUUGGGUCGUUAAUGGGGCGGCUACAACCACGCUCAUCGAGUCACCCUCUAUCUGGUGAAGUGGGCCGGCAAGCCCAAUACACAUGCCACCUAGGAGAAGGAAGCCGAUCUCUGGCAGUUCGAGACCUUAUUCCAACUCUACCACAGUUGGCAGGCUUCGCUGUAGAUGGCGGACGUUCCCAGCAAAAGAGGAUGUUACAUGGGGCCCGACUCCGAGCUCGUCCCCAGUGACAACGCAACACCGAGCAACACAAUAUGUACCAAGUAUGCAUGAUAGGGUGGAACACAUGUCUAGCAAUCGAGACAAACGGACAGAAAUGGCGCCAUAACACCACAACAGAGCAAUGGGGUCGAUGGCGUUAACCUAAUAGAGGAAGUGAUAGAUGACACAAACAUUUAGUCUCAUACCGUCUAUAAGUUAGAAUGACCAAAUGCAGAGACUUACUUAAUGGGACCCACCACCUUCACUAAGAGCACCUUUUGGUUGAUCCUAUUUUGUGUACUCGAUAUUCGGUUGGGUUCAUGAAGAACUGCAACCACAUCUAGUAAGGAUCUGAGUAGAGCCACUCGCAAGCCUUGUAACAAGUCAUGAUAGACCUUUUGGUAAGAAUGGGCUAGUAGAUGGGCCCAUUCUUACUAUAUACAGUCGGUGGGCUAAGAGUAGGGCAAAAUAGAUAUUGGAGCACACAAAGUGAGUAUAAAUAGGAGAGAAAAGCUAGGGUUAGGAGAGGGAGAAAAAGGGAGGCCACAUGGUGCAGGAGAGGGGGAUCUCUUGAACAGUCCCUUGGAUUCUAGUUCUUCUAUCACAACUGUCUAUCUCAUUUUGGAUUAUUCUUUUGGUUUAUUGACUUUAUCUUAUGUGUUCGAGUAUUUUUUCAUUUGGGGUUCCCAUCAGGUACACUAGAACAUGCAACCCUCAUUGUUUGUGGAAACUAAGGAGUUCUAUAGUUCCUGAUCUUACUGUAGCAUACGACUUUUUGUAUUUCUGUUGUUGGUGAAGUAUAAUUUUCUCUUGAAAUACUAUUCUGAGGCAGUAAUGCAAAUAACUUAGUUCCAUGCUAGUCAGAAAUUAUUGCAACAUGUGAUCAGUUUAGAGCUUCCGUCCAUCUCAUCUCUUUGAGCUUCAAAAUAUUUUAAAAAUGAAUAAUACCUGGAUAAUUUAUUAACCACUACUUUUGGAGACUAUUUGUGCUCAUUCCAACCGUAACAAAGAGACAUGACUUUCAGCUUUCUACAUAUUAUCAAGAAAUGCGAUGUAAUGAGACAGGAACAUGCAUUUUUUUUCUUCAAACAUACCUUAUGAGGCGAUGGAGGCCUUGCUGCCGAUGCUGCUGCGGUAGGAGUUGGAUCUGGCAGUUGACUUCAGCAAGGUGGAUGUGAAGGCAAUCAUCAUCCUUACGGCCAUCUCCAAUCUGAUUACAAAUGAAUCCCGACAGUGGUGAACUCCCACUUUCUGCUCUCUUCCUUCUUCACCUCACCCAUCUGUGUAAAUUCUGCCCUCAAGAUGUGAUAGACACGCUUUGGGCUCAUUCUUCCUUCCUAAAUAGGAGCAUUCCUUGUGUAGCUCAGCUUAUUUCUGAUUUCCCCAUUUAUCCCCAUCAACAUCUACAAGCCCUUCACCCAUCAAUAAACAGCUUGCAAGGGAAAUAUUUCCUUUUUUAGUCUAUGAUUCAAAGGAUUGAUUGUUCUCAAUGGUGAAGAACAUAGAGCAAACAAAUACUGGAUCACUCUGUCCACAAAAUAGUGCAACCCAGAAAGGAAAACCAACAUAGAUUCAAUAUAUGCCGAGCUUUAUGUUCUGACAAAGUUCAUCAAAAUGUUCUGAAAGCUGAAUCAGAAACAAAACUAAACCAAGUUUCUGCAAUUUAUUUGAAUCAAUUUUCCCUAAUAUCAGCUUCGAAAAACAUACACGCUCUAUAAUCUUCGAACAAAUAGACACAUCUAGGCCCUUCAAAACAUCUUAAAAGUACUUAUAUACAUGUACAUGAGGAGACCGUGCUCUAGAUAGUCUGGUUGAAUCCAAGAAGAAACAAACUGGGGAGAUACAGUAAAUGACCCAAAGAGCCAAAAGGUAAGGUGAGAUAUUAUCUACAGUUAGUGAGUUGACAUGAUAUUUGAUCUUAUUUUACCCAUUAUUUGUAUAUUUGAAAAAACAACACAAAAUUUGAACUAUGAAGAAACAUGAAUAGCCACACUUUGAGCAGUCAUGCAUUUGCUUCCUGUGAUACUUCUCCUCGCAUUACUGGUGCCACCUCCUUGGGUUACCUUUCCAGCUGCAUCCCAUCUCUGCAUGAAAGCAGUCUUCACCUUGUCUCCUUCUCUCUUAACUGCACCAACAGCCUUACUCGGCCCAGAUACCUGUUUUUGGGUCGCAAAGGCUUCUAGCUUACCAAACUGGUUAAGAGACUCACUACGGACAGCACUUCGAUGCUCAUCACUGGUAGUGGUCGACCCUUGCAGUUUCACUGUCUUGGAAACUGAAGGGGGCUUUGCCUGAUUUCUACAUUGUGGAAGAAGAUGUGUAGGUCCAUUAAUCACCUGGAAACAGUAAAAGGUAUCAACUUUUAGUGACUCGAUUCACUAAUCUUCUGUGGAAGUAUCAACUUUCAGUAAAAGAGAUCUUGUACAUUGGAAUAUAAAACACUAGUCAUGGACAUGCAUGUCAUCUAAGCAGCCACUGAUGCGCAUGAUUGUUAAAUAUCAUUUUUUUUAGUGAUUGCAAACUUUCCAACUUAGCAAGUACCUUCUUCCCGCAAAUGAGCUUGGGAUUGGGCUUGUGAGAGGAUAAAGGUGUACAUGCUGUCUUGAGGUUUAGCCGCUUAACCUGUUGUUUAGUUUCAACUUUCGCUUCCUGCAAAUCCAUGAGUCAAGCUCAUCAAACUAGUAUGACACAACCCUCAAGAUAUUUAAUCAUUUCCUAGAAGAUUGUCAUCAUCAACAUCAUUAUCAUAAAUAAUCAUCAUCAACAUCAAGAGUCAUUAUCAUCUUUAACCAUAUGGCAAUGGAAAAAUGAGAAUGAUUGAGUUUUAGAGCCAUUUAUAACAAGACUUCAAGCCAGGUGGCUAUCAACUCCCAAGAUUAUUAAAUGGAUCUGGUUGGAUGGAAGAGCAUAUCUUUCUAUGGCACCAAAAGGUAGAGGCAUAAUGAACUGAGAUGGUAAAAUGCAAAUGGAUAAUUUUGGAGGCAGAACUCUCGUAGAAAUAUGCCAUAUGAGUAAUGCAAGACAAAGAUGAAUUUAUGAAAAAUCAUGCUACUUGCCUUGUUCCUCUGCUCAGUUCUUUCACUACAUUUAGAGCUAAAGGCUCGAGUACCCGUUCCUGAUGGUAGCCGCAUUGUAGUUGUUAGUUGUUCAUCCCUGAAAAAGAACUGUGAUUCCAAUGAUACAAAUAAAUGAAAGAAAAAUAGCUUUUGGAUGAGACCAAAUACCUAUGUGAUGAUCCAUGUCCACUACUCAAGCUUUUUUUAGAAGAAUCAUAUCUAGGUAUGGAAACAGUUUUUAGGUCAGAUUGUUUCUCACUUUUGGAGGAACUCUUCCAGAGCCAAUCAAAUUAGAGUAUAUGUCAGUUUGAGCCAAAACAAGAUUUAUUAUUUUCAGAUCGGAAAGAGUCAUAUACAUACCUUCUACUCCCUGCUUUCGCUUUCGCUUUCUCUGUCAUUUUAUCAGAAUCCUACAAGAAGUACACAUCAAAGAUUAAAAUUACAUAUGUGAUGUAGAAGUAUCCACCACCAUGAUUUAAGAGCAUAGUCGCCUAAAUUCGUCAUCCCUUCAAUCAUCUAGCACAUAGAUUUGCUAAUCUAGGUUUCUGUCCAAUUGUUAAAAGAAACUAUGGUAGAAAGAGUAAAUAUCUCAGUAAGUGAAUAUAUAUCCAAUAUACAUAUCAGACAAAAAAUCCUCACUCUAUAAUAAAAAAUUGGGGAAUUUCUGAAUCUGAGUAAAUCAUAAAAAAUUAUAAAUCAAUUUCUUGCCUCAAGCUUCAUGUUUCUCGGUGCAAUAAGCAUCAUUGUUGAGGCCGUCGAAGAAGAAUGCUUCACUUUUAAUGUCAUCUCUUUUUCUAUUUUUUUCAACUCUUUUGCCGGCGUACUUUUCAAAGAAGAAUAAAUAUUUACAGAUGAAAUCUUCUUUUCAAUCUGCCCAGCUGUACCCUCCAUUUUUGGUUUUGUUAUUCUUGGUUUCUUUUCCACUGUUGUUUUUGCCUGAAAAUGAGCAUUUUCAACAAGAGGUGACCAUUAAACACUGAGCAAGAGGAGCACUUCGAAGGCAUAAAUAAUCUAUCUUAAUUACUAGUAAUAACAAAAAUAGGAAAUAUAAACAAUCCGAAGUUAAGAGUUGUGUUCAAAUAAACACAUGAUGCCUACCUCCUUAUUUUGUUAUCAGCCUCAUUAUCAAGUCAACAAAGGCAUUACAUCUUUACUAGCCAGAAGGCAGCUUUAAAUGCAUGACAUGUGAAAAAGAUAACAAAAAUGUUCAAAGACAAGAGGAUAUCUAACCACGUGGUAUGCUCUUAUAGUCUUCCUCAAACUGGAGGCACGAACUUUCUCCAUUGUUGAACUCUUAGUGGACGUAUUGGCCUUCCCAUCAGUUGCAGUUUCAACCUUUUUUCCAGAUUCUAAUGAUGAUGCCUUGAGGUUAUUAUUUCUGACUUUGGGAGGCAAUGCAGAUGGUGGUAUUUGUUCUUCCUUUCUAGUCUCCGUUACCCUAUUUUGAUCACCAUUUUGGCUUCCAUCAUACCAGGAAAAUUGGAUUUGAUAUUGAUCGUGCCCCAAAAAAUCUUCAGAAUUGGCUGAUACAUUGCCAUGUUCUGUUAUUCCUUCAAUGGAAGUGUCUUGGUCCUCUAUGCCAUUUUUUGCUUGUUCAUCAACCUCAUUUUGCUUUUCUAUAGCAAUUAAGUUACGAAGUGCUGUCCUCUUGAAAUGAGCUUCAAAGUAGGCUUUCUUUUCAGUAACCGAACCCGGAGUUGAAUACUUUUCGACCUCUUCAAGAUACCGAUUGUGUGAGAAGGAUGACUUCUUCUCCCAAGACAAAGACUCAGCUUCAAAUCUUCCAAAUGAUACAGAACUAGAAGAUGGGCAAUCGGCCUGCACAUGUUCAACAAAUAGAGUAUUGAACACCCAUUCAAGCCGAUCAAAUGCAAUUGACUUCAGGUAAGUUACUCGCCAAACUUCAGGUAAAUUAAGAAGCUGAGAUUGACUUGAAAAUUUCAAGAUAAAAAAACGACAUAUAUUUUGCUAGGUUGGUGAGAAACAUUGGAAGACCAGACACAAUAUAAUCGCUGACAUAUCAAUUAUAUUAUUGGAUUACGUAUAAUGUUGAUUUAAUAUGCCAUUUGACCAACCUACUCUCAUCUAUAUAACAAUAAAACACUCUAUAGAACACUAUUGCAAAGUACCAAUGAAACAAAUUAAAAUCUUCAGGUCCAUAUCUUGGAUUUUCAGUAAACAGGGAGAUGUUUCCACAGAUUUAAAUACCCAAAAAAAAAACCCAAAUACAUAAAAACAUUUUCCUUGGUAUUGAGAACGGAAGAUGCCAAAGGAAAAGGACCAAAAACUUAUUACUUUAGUGGCAGGGCAUUUGGAUAAUAUUCAAGAUUGACACUUGAAAUCCGAAAUCUGAUACUCAGCUCAAAACCAGUAGUUUAUUGAUAAACUAUUUAAACUGUUUUGAUAGAGGUAAGGUUCUCAAUUAGGACCUAGCAAAGCGAUAAUGGACAGCAGUGGUUGGCGAAUGAUAGUAAUAGGUCACGAUGGGUAACAAGAUUCGUAGUUAGUGAUAGGAACAAUGUUGGUAAGUGACAUGGGUGGCGAGCGACAUGAGACCACAGAUGCUGAUGAUAGUCCACGGCAUUAGUGAAAGCCAAAAGUUAAACUAGCAAACAAUAGUUGAUCAUAAGGGGCAAUUAGACAAUUUAAAGUCGUUCUGUCAACCAUUAGCCACAAUUAUGAUAAUUCUUAAAAAUAAAUUGUGGUAUGUUGUGGAGGACUUUGUAGAGGAAAGUUGUGAAGAUGAUGUGGUAGGUAGUAGUCACCUCUUUUUAGAGCUCUUACACCUAUGAAGAAUUAAAAUGGGACUUAGACACAAAAACAUGUGUUCUAAGCUUUCAUUAACAUAUAAGUGAAAAUAACUUGAAGAGGUAAGUUACAUUUCAAAUAUGAAAUAAGUGUCCAUCAAUUGAUCCGAUUUUUCCAUCAAACUUGAAGAGGUAAUGCAAAAUUUUUCCAACAUUUAAAUGACGCGACCAUAAAUUCUGAAGUUAACGAGCAAUGAAGACAUUCAUUGUAUGCAUAGUUGAAAUUGCAGAUUUCAGAUCCCAAUACACAACCAACGGCAGCCACUACCAAGAGCACUUAUCAAUGAUCCUAAAACCUGAUAUGCUUGGGAGGAUGCGUAUCAUGAAUAUGUUGCAACAGCCAAGCACAAUAGGCUGGUAGUUAUAGUAUCCCACCGUCAUCACUAGAUCUGUAACCGGGGAACAAAAUGGAGGCAAUAAUUUCGAGAUUGCUAAAAAGUAGUAAAUGAGAGAAAACGGGAGUACAGAGAUUGAAACACAAGAAAGAGAAGCUCCACAGGGACCAGACUAAGCAAAUUGAAAGUAGGACCUGAAAUUUACAGAAAUCUUCAGCCACACUGGCCAUGGCAAGCCUUGGACUAUCACAAGGUACCUUGUUCAACUGCAAGCAAGGAAGCUUCUUAGAAACACUUGAAUAUACAAUCACUAGAACUGGAUAUAUCUAAGAUGAAUCACGCUUCCAACACAUAACAUGGAUACAAGGGACAGCGGAUAAAUUCUUCAAUCAGACUGAAUUUCAACCAUGGCAUCGUUCGCAUUAAUUUAUUUCCUGCUUAGAUUUUUUUUCUGGUGACUGAAACAAAUGCAAUAAAGCAAGCGAAGGAUAGAGACACCAAGGCUCUACUAGCGAAAGUUGCCAAACCUCCAUGAACCCCCCCGUUACACUUGAUACCCCUGCGCCAUUAAUCCCAACAUAGGGUGGGAAGACGGGCUUUCCCUGUGCUCUUAUGCAGAAAAAGUUUGAACAGCGGAACUUCUGUAAGAACAACAAUAAUAGUGACGAGCGAUAGAAUUUUGCUGUUGCGGUCUGGCAUCUCCUCAAUCCGGCUAAAUCUCCAGAAGGAGACAUCAAAACCAGGACAUCUGGAGGACUAGAAAUAGAGAAGAGAAGAGUAAACCUCUCGGAACGAUCAGCUUCCAGCAGGAUCUCAGAAACGAUUGUAAGAUUCAGCCAAGCACCAGAAGGCAUCUCCUCUCCCAUCUUCAGCACCAAGAGGCACCGAAUCGACUGUCACCGGAACCAGUCCCUCCACGCCCCAAGAUAGAGACCGCCGAGGAUGCCCAACCACCGCCGAAUCCUCGCGGCAUUACCACAAUUUGGUCUCCACCAAAUCCCCUCGCAAAUGUCUUCCCUCGAUCCUCCAGUAGUUCACCUCCACAAUCCUCCCUUCCUCCCUUCCUGGGGGGAGAGCAGAAGCCGCCUCCCUCUGCCGCUGCCUUAAGGACUGUACAGGGAGAGAGAUGGAGAGCGAGAGAGAGAUGGAGAGCGAGAGAGAGAUGGAGAGNNNNNNNNNNNNNNNNNNNNNNNNNNNNNNNNNNNNNNNNNNNNNNNNNNNNNNNNNNNNNNNNNNNNNNNNNNNNNNNNNNNNNNNNNNNNNNNNNNNNNNNNNNNNNNNNNNNNNNNNNNNNNNNNNNNNNNNNNNNNNNNNNNNNNNNNNNNNNNNNNNNNNNNNNNNNNNNNNNNNNNNNNNNNNNNNNNNNNNNNNNNNNNNNNNNNNNNNNNNNNNNNNNNNNNNNNNNNNNNNNNNNNNNNNNNNNNNNNNNNNNNNNNNNNNNNNNNNNNNNNNNNNNNNNNNNNNNNNNNNNNNNNNNNNNNNNNNNNNNNNNNNNNNNNNNNNNNNNNNNNNNNNNNNNNNNNNNNNNNNNNNNNNNNNNNNNNNNNNNNNNNNNNNNNNNNNNNNNNNNNNNNNNNNNNNNNNNNNNNNNNNNNNNNNNNNNNNNNNNNNNNNNNNNNNNNNNNNNNNNNNNNNNNNNNNNNNNNNNNNNNNNNNNNNNNNNNNNNNNNNNNNNNNNNNNNNNNNNNNNNNNNNNNNNNNNNNNNNNNNNNNNNNNNNNNNNNNNNNNNNNNNNNNNNNNNNNNNNNNNNNNNNNNNNNNNNNNNNNNNNNNNNNNNNNNNNNNNNNNNNNNNNNNNNNNNNNNNNNNNNNNNNNNNNNNNNNNNNNNNNNNNNNNNNNNNNNNNNNNNNNNNNNNNNNNNNNNNNNNNNNNNNNNNNNNNNNNNNNNNNNNNNNNNNNNNNNNNNNNNNNNNNNNNNNNNNNNNNNNNNNNNNNNNNNNNNNNNNNNNNNNNNNNNNNNNNNNNNNNNNNNNNNNNNNNNNNNNNNNNNNNNNNNNNNNNNNNNNNNNNNNNNNNNNNNNNNNNNNNNNNNNNNNNNNNNNNNNNNNNNNNNNNNNNNNNNNNNNNNNNNNNNNNNNNNNNNNNNNNNNNNNNNNNNNNNNNNNNNNNNNNNNNNNNNNNNNNNNNNNNNNNNNNNNNNNNNNNNNNNNNNNNNNNNNNNNNNNNNNNNNNNNNNNNNNNNNNNNNNNNNNNNNNNNNNNNNNNNNNNNNNNNNNNNNNNNNNNNNNNNNNNNNNNNNNNNNNNNNNNNNNNNNNNNNNNNNNNNNNNNNNNNNNNNNNNNNNNNNNNNNNNNNNNNNNNNNNNNNNNNNNNNNNNNNNNNNNNNNNNNNNNNNNNNNNNNNNNNNNNNNNNNNNNNNNNNNNNNNNNNNNNNNNNNNNNNNNNNNNNNNNNNNNNNNNNNNNNNNNNNNNNNNNNNNNNNNNNNNNNNNNNNNNNNNNNNNNNNNNNNNNNNNNNNNNNNNNNNNNNNNNNNNNNNNNNNNNNNNNNNNNNNNNNNNNNNNNNNNNNNNNNNNNNNNNNNNNNNNNNNNNNNNNNNNNNNNNNNNNNNNNNNNNNNNNNNNNNNNNNNNNNNNNNNNNNNNNNNNNNNNNNNNNNNNNNNNNNNNNNNNNNNNNNNNNNNNNNNNNNNNNNNNNNNNNNNNNNNNNNNNNNNNNNNNNNNNNNNNNNNNNNNNNNNNNNNNNNNNNNNNNNNNNNNNNNNNNNNNNNNNNNNNNNNNNNNNNNNNNNNNNNNNNNNNNNNNNNNNNNNNNNNNNNNNNNNNNNNNNNNNNNNNNNNNNNNNNNNNNNNNNNNNNNNNNNNNNNNNNNNNNNNNNNNNNNNNNNNNNNNNNNNNNNNNNNNNNNNNNNNNNNNNNNNNNNNNNNNNNNNNNNNNNNNNNNNNNNNNNNNNNNNNNNNNNNNNNNNNNNNNNNNNNNNNNNNNNNNNNNNNNNNNNNNNNNNNNNNNNNNNNNNNNNNNNNNNNNNNNNNNNNNNNNNNNNNNNNNNNNNNNNNNNNNNNNNNNNNNNNNNNNNNNNNNNNNNNNNNNNNNNNNNNNNNNNNNNNNNNNNNNNNNNNNNNNNNNNNNNNNNNNNNNNNNNNNNNNNNNNNNNNNNNNNNNNNNNNNNNNNNNNNNNNNNNNNNNNNNNNNNNNNNNNNNNNNNNNNNNNNNNNNNNNNNNNNNNNNNNNNNNNNNNNNNNNNNNNNNNNNNNNNNNNNNNNNNNNNNNNNNNNNNNNNNNNNNNNNNNNNNNNNNNNNNNNNNNNNNNNNNNNNNNNNNNNNNNNNNNNNNNNNNNNNNNNNNNNNNNNNNNNNNNNNNNNNCUCUCUCUCUCUCUCUCUCUCUCUCUCUCUCUCUCUCUUCUCUCCCUCCUUCCUCUCCAUCUCUCAUGAAAAGAAUGGGUCAAAUAGAAUAAUUUUAUUGAUUGUAUUGGACCCUUGAGAAGCUCUUAGGGCCAAGCCUAUAGUUGUAGGCACGUGAUUUAUCCUUAAAAAAUAAUGAAAAUUCCAAAGCUCUUAAUUUUUUUUGUUUGAAGUUUUCCAAACGUAGAAUAUGAUGAUAAGGGCCCAAUUUCGUGUCAUUGUAAUUUUAUAUGAGUAAGGACCGUUUGUGUAUAUAUUUUAAAAAAUUAAGUGAAUAACCAAGGGUGUGAGAUAAUUGUUUAUUGGGUUUCUAAUAUUUCAAGUGAGAUAAAAGAGUUGGGAGGGUAUACCAUAAGUUGGGUCCCACCCAAAUUGGUCAAGUUUUGGCCUGAACUCCUUGGCUCUUGCAUUUGUUUCCAAAUGCACAGGCCAACACAUGGUAUCUUCACUUUGGACCACUAAAAGCAGAUAAAAGCUAAUAGAACAAUUAUGGCCAUUUUUUAUAUAAUUGCAUCCUCAAAAGUUACCCCCAUAAAGAAAAUAGGCUUUAUACACUCUUGGGUCAGGGUUUCAAUCGGGGUCCUAUGCAAACUGGUCUAAGUGUCACCAUGCACAAUUUUGUACUUGUGAUAGGCGGUUGCUUUAUGCUCUCUCUCUCUCUCUCUCUCUCUCUCUCUCUCUCCCUCUCUACACUUUCCUAUAAAUGCAAGCUCAUCCUUAGCCUUGAACAAGGGCCCUAGUUGACUCCCAUAUGAGUCCCAAGAUUCAUCUUGUUAGGUUGUGAUGUGAACCUAAUAGGUGGUGCAACUUUUUUCCAAAGUUCUUAUUCCAUAUUAAGGACUUAAAACUCAAUGAGUUUGUCUAAUUAAGUUACUGUAAUUCUUAUUUUCAUUACUAAAUGUGGGAAUUAGGGUGGAGGGAGGGGUUAAUGAUAAAUGAUGUUGAAGUUACAUAAAUAAUUGGGUACAAAUGGGCAUGGAUCAAUCUCAUUUGGAUCAUUUAGAAGAUACAAUACUUGGGCUAAGGACAAAUUCUGCAUUGUGCAUUACAUGAUCGGACGGUGCUAAGAGACCCAGGAUGCAUCCCAUCUUCCAUGAUCAAUGGUCGUUAUUCCUCGACAUGCUCUUCAAGAAUGACCCACUCUUGGUGAUCUCCCUUAGAGGCUUGUCGGUGAACCUUAUGAGGUUGUACGCAAAGCCACCUAGGAGGGUCCCAAAGAUGGGGCCCACCAAGUAGACCCAUAUCCCUUUGUAGUUGUGCAUGACAAUGGCGGGCCCCAGGCUACGAGCUGGAUUCAUCGAUGCCCCAGAGAUUGGUCUAUAAGUGCCACGUCACACAAAAUCAUCAAGUUAGGCAGGGUGAGCUUCAGUGGGCCAAACCCAUUGAAAUUUAAAGAAUAAUUAAAUCAUAGUGUAUAAUUUUAAAGAGAUAAUAUAAUGAUUAAAGAUGGCAGGCCACACAUUCUAAAAAAUAAAGAAUAAUAAAUAAUUUUAAAGGAGUUGACUAAAUACCCAGCCACGAAGACAUUCAGAGUGAUCGUUGACCCGACCGCGAUCCCGGCUAAUUCUCCGAUCUGAACAAAUUCCGCCCACUAUCAGGCAAAACCGUUUAUAUAUAUAUAUAUAUGUAUCUAGAGAGAGAGAGAGAGAGAGAGAGAGAGAGAGAGAGAGAGAGAGAGAGAGAGAGAGAGAGAGAGAGAGAGAGAGAGAGAGAGAGAGAGAGAGAGAGAGAGAGAGAGAGAGAGAGAGACGAGAGANNNNNNNNNNNNNNNNNNNNGAGAGAGAGAGAGAGGAAGGAGUGCUAACUGCUCUAUUGUCGGUGGCUACGCCGGAGAUGACGAACAUGAGGAGGAAGGAUGUGAUGAUCUCGAGAACGAAGGACUGCAUGUCCGAUCCGGCGGGGGUUGUCCCGAAGAAAUGGGAGGGCUUCGGGCUGAGGACCUCGUACAGAGUGAAGCUCGCCAGCGUGGCCCCACAGAUCUGGGAGAUUACGUAGAUGGGCACCUGAAAUUCAUCCAUGGAGAUUCAUCCGCCGUAAUAUAUCCAAAAAUGGCAAAUAAUUCCUGGUUUGGAAGAGGAAGAAGAAGACGAUGACGACGUCGAAGAGCACGAGAGUGUGGGAAAGAAAGUUCUACCUCUUCGAGAAGAAGACGACGAGGACGGGCAAGAGGAGAGGAGUGUGGAAAGAAAGGCCUACUUCUUUGAAAGGGAAGCGAGAGAUUCAGCAGCCAUAAUUUAAACAAAAAUGGUAAACACUUGCAGGUUUGGAAGGAGGAGGAAGAAGAGGAGUGUGGGAAAGAAUGGUCUACUUCUUUGAAGUGAAGUGGAGGAGGGAGAUUCAUUCCACAUAAUCUAUCCAAAAAUGGUAAAAACUUUGCAGGUUUGGUGUAGGAAGAAUAAGAAGACGACGAUGAGGAGGGAGACGAGAAGAAAGGAGUGGGGGAAAGAGAACUCUACCUCUUUGAGAGGAAAGCGGCGGAAGACGGCGAAGGUGAUGGUGACGGCGGGGUUGAAGUGGGCGCCGGAGAUGUGACCGACGGCGUAGACCAUCACCAUCACCACCAAGCCCCAGGUUAUGCAGAUCCCAGGGAACGAGACCGAUCCGUACAUCUUGUUCACCGCCACCGAACCACAGCCGGCGAAUAUCACGAAGAAGCUCCCCACCACCUCCGCGAUCGUCUGCACCAGGCACCAUAUAAAGUCAGCGCCGCUUCGAGAGGCCAGCGGCGGAGGUGGCGGCGGAAUAAACCUUCUGGAUGAGGCGGACGACUCCCGUGGAGGAGAGGCAGUCUUCCUGCCGGAUUUCUUCCCCUCUUGCAUUCUCCUCAUCGACGUGCUCCGCCGCCGCCGGCGUCGCCAUGAGAGAGAGAGAGAGAGAGAGAGGAGAAGAAGAAGUUGAGGAGAGAGAAGGAAAGUGGAGAGUUUCCGGCGUUGGGAGAGAUGAGGAAAGGGGCAGACUUUGAGGAAGGAGGGACGGCUGGCAGUUGGGUGGAGACCGUUGGAGGCUCGCCGGAGCAGAGGCUCCGCUUGGCCGCGGCGGAUUCGCUGGACCGUUGCGGCGUUGUCGGGGAGAACCCGUCGGCGGUGGAACACAUCACGGUAACUAAGAAUCAUCUCUUCGGACACCCGUUUAUUCCAGAAGGAUACUUUUUCUUGACUUACCACUACAUUAAUUUAAUUUACAUUAAUCGUGGAAGAAUCACCAACUUACCGGAGAAUUUUUCUGUAGUAACCUAUAAUUAUGUAUUCCACAUUGGGCAUAGGAUCUUCCUCGAAGUGGGCAGUGUUUGAUUCAACCCGUUGACCAUAAUAUGUAAGCUUAAAAAAAUUCACUUAAAAUGUUCGUCCUUGGAAACUAGAAUUAUAAUUUUUUGGAAACGAUAGUUGAACUUAUUAUCCUAAUUUUUAAAAUUAAAUAAUUUUAUUUUUUUGAUCUUAAAGUCAACUCGAUGCUUAUAAUCCAGUACAUUAAGAAUUUUGCUCAAAUGGGGAACAAUAUCAAUGGCUAAGAUCGUCUUUUGGCUGAAUACAUAUGAAUCACUUUUCAUAUGGAUAAAUUAAAUGUAAUUAAAGAUGUCAAACAUUUAUGUAAAAUAUAUUUCUAGUAAAUUUUACUUUAUUUUUAUUCGUUGAAAAUACUAAAUACCUCAACAAAAGAAAGGUCAUAUGUUGAGAUUGUGUAAGAAAUAUAAAAGAAAUCUGUAAGAUAUAAUUAAGAAUAAUCUCAUAAACAUGUAGAACAAAAGAGUUAGAACUUAUUAGAGCAAAGUGUUGAAAAAUUAAGUUAAAAAAAAAGGAGAAGAGAAUGAUCCAAAAUGCACCACGUUUUCAAGGUAUCUACCUUCAUAAUGUAGCAGUCAUCAAGUGGCAUUUGGUACAUGGUAAGGUGGUAUUUGGUGGAUGAAAGUGCAUAUGUCAUGCUUUAAAUCUUCAAUCAUCAAUAUUCUGGAAAUUUAAGGAAUGCAUUUUAUUUACACACUCAUUUUUAUGUAUUCAUGUUUGAAUCAAGUUUUACUUUGAAGGAUAGCAAACUCAAACUUGUGUUGGUUAGAUCCAAGGGUUUCAAGGAUACCGAGGUGGUAGUCCACAACGUACACCCAAUUGCAACUUUUCAACAUAGAUUUUUUAUAUUUUAAAAAUUUUAAAGUAAUAUAAUUCUUUGACAUGCCAUUUAAUAUAAUGUAUAUGUGCACUAAAUAUUUAUAUCACGAGAAUAAUAAAAAUAUUAAUUUAUAUUUUAAGGGAAGUGGACAAUAACACUACCAUUAAUUUUGUGAAAGAAGUAUGGGAGUAUGUAUCCACAAAAAUAUUCACAUCAAAGACAUUAAGAAAAGGGCCCAAUAGAAGAGCCAAUAAAACACUUGGAUAAUGCAUGCUAUAUGCCUCAAAAUAUUACUAUUUUUAUUUAUUCAUGUUUUAUGUUUUCUGUGACUAUUUGCAUGCAUAACUAAUUGAUAAAGUUGCUCAUAAACAAGUGUUUGUGAACAUAUAUUUGGUUGAUCUUGAAUGAAGCUGAAUAUGCUGCCAUUUGCAGACUUGUUGCUGACCAAUUGUUAGUAGAUGCUUUGACAAUUGCCAUUAGGCUAAGCUUGAGUUUACCAAAUACAAUAUAGUUCAGUUGGGUUAUGCCUUUCACAUUCUAUGAAUUAUUAUUCUCACAAUGAAUUUUGAGUUUUUAAUUAGCUUCUCUUCCUUUUCCCUCAUUGGAAAGUCUUUCUUAUGGGUGUUGGGCAGUUAUUAGCUUUGAGUUCAAGUUUUCAUUUAUCAAUAAAUGAAUAUUGUCUCAGAAUUAGUCAUAAUAUUUAUAUUUAUUUUUUUCACUGUUUUUUAUUACUAGUCUUGAAUUAAUGAAUCCAAUGGCCUAGUUCAACCCCUAUAUUGUUGUUCUACUAUAAAUACUAGACCCAAACUUUGACAAAGUGAGUAUGUUAUUUUUCACCCUUUCUUUGUGACCUAGGAUUUCUCUACUUGUGAUGUAAUACUUGACAACGUAUCAAAUCUUUGAUUGUAAAUCUCUUUAGUUUGGGAUGCCCCCACUACAAGACAUCCAUAUCAGUGAGGAGGAACAUGGUUUGUGCAUCAUGUCAUUACUAUCAAGCUUCAUUUAUGACAUUGGGUUCAAUGCUUCUAGGUAUUACUAUGUUUGAAACAAUAUCUACAUCUUGAUCUUUAUGAUUUCAAGGGUUUGAAUGAACCCAAUUAUUGAGGAAUUGUCAACCAACCAUCAUGGAGAUUGAAUCAGCAAAAUUUUCUUAAUUGGUCUCAAUAGAUCAAACAAUGUUGAAAGAUAGAGGGUGAUAGGUAUUUUUCAUUGGUGUUAAAUACUCACAAUCUAGUAAAAUUUAUAAUUGAAACUUAAUAAAAUUUAGUAAAUAAUGAUUUUUAAGUCUAACAUAGGGAGUAGGAAUAAUUUUUCAUGAUAAUUAAUUUUAAAUUUUAUUUUAAAAUGACUUUAUUUUUUUAUAAUUUUAAAAUAGAAAUGAAUAUUUUUGAGUUUUUAAAUAAAAGGAGAAAAGAAGAGGAAGAUAGAUGUAGGAUUUUGAAGGGGUUAGAGAGAAUAAUUUUGAGGUAUAGAUGUGAAAUUUUAAAAGAAAUUUUGGGAGGAAUUUUUGGAGAGAGACAUGGGGUUUAGAAGAUAUUUUAGAUGAAUUUAAGGUGGAAAAUAGGAGAGAUAAAAUGAGAAAAUAGAUGAUAAUAGGAGAGAGAAAAUCAUGGCCAGCAUGCCUCUUACCAUGUUAACCAUGAUUUCUAGACUAAUAUGUGAGAGAGGAAUCACAAAAAAGUGUGAUAUCAUGUCAAAAAUGUCUAAUUAAUUUUUCACUGAUUUUUAAGGAUUGGAUAUUGAGAAUAAAGCCAUAAAAUCACUGAACUGUUGGAAAAUCACUAGAUAAUAUCUAGAAACAUAAUAAUGAUUUUUAUUUGGAUUUUUUGAUCGAAAUCAAUGUGAAAUGGUUUGAAAUCAUUUCGAGGAUGAUUCUAGAUGAGUUAUGGAGGAUUUGAGAUAUAAAGGAAGCCUUUUCAUCAAGUAUUCUUCAAGUUCUAUUAAUUAUUUCUGGUAAACAUUUGAAAAUUAUCAUUCAUGAUAAAAUUCAAAUAUAAACUAAAAUAAAUCUGAAACUAACAUGGUCCUUUGAUGGGUCAUCAUUUGGAGUAGCAAAUUAUGUCAAUGUGAUGGCUUUGUAUUUUCAAGUCAUGUCACAUUAUAUUAGACAUUGCAUGAAGAUUGCCUAGUGGCCCUACGCUGCUCAUUGAAAGGAUUUGAUAGAAAGAGGGGUUGACGUCACUAUUAUGCCAUUUAGGGAAGAAGGGAAGGCUUUUGACCAUUUUUCAAAGGCUCUAAGUGUAAUUAAGAGAGACAAGGAGGUUCACUAGUCAUUAGAGGCUUUGACCAUGUGAAGGGGGAGAACAUAGAAUACUCAUUGCUAGUGAACUCUCUAUUAUUUUAUUUUACCCAUGAUAAUUGAUAAUAUCUACUUUACCAAAUGAAAAUUGAUAAUUGUUGAUGUGUCCUACCAAAACUUGUGCCUUCUCUAUUGUUGAAUCUAUCUAUUAUGUGAUGUUAGAUUGAAUGCUUGAACUAUGUGGUGCUUCAUAUGUUGUCGGAUUUUAAUGCUAUGAGCCAUUAGAUCUGAUAUUAUGCUCAAAGGUCUUCUAAAAAAUAUGAGACAAUUGAAUGUUUGUUCCAAGUAUUGAGCUACCACUAAUCCACCACUUGAAUAAGGGUGAUGUGACACGUUAUGGAUCAUCAAAUCAAGAUAAUGUGGUGAUCCAACCAUCACAUACAAAUGUUGUAAAAUAAAUAAAUAAAAUUUAGUCCCACAUAGGUUUUGACAAACUUUUGUAAUAGUAUAUAUGAACCCCUACCACAUCAUACAUCAUCUUUCAAUAGGUAACUAGAUUUUAUCACUAGUUCUUGAGGAUUUGACUUAGAUUGAGACCCAAGUGGCCCAAUGGGGCUUGGAACGCUUACCUCUUGGCCUAGCAAUGACAGAUCUUCUACCACCCUUCUGGUUGAUUUUUGUUCUUCUCAGAUGAACUGGUUUCGCUUCAUGAAAUUUGAUUAUUUAGGCCAAUUUGAAUAUAUUCAAAUUUUUUUUGCUUUUUUCCUCUAAGUUUUAAUGCUUUCGUGCUUUUUUGUAUACAAAUUCUAAGGCCUUUUCUUUGGGGGGCCUAUAAGGAAGAAUCUAAGAUUUCCCGCAUUUUUUCAAUAACUUAAAGGCAUUUUUUUUUCUUGAAUGCAUCUGCAUUCCAUCGCAUUUAGUCAAUUCGAGGUGGAUAAAAACGUGUAAUUUCGCAUCAAAUCAUGAUAUUUUUGGUGGAACAUUCGGCUGCCGUAAUCUCUCCGGGUUAGGUCGGCCGAUUUCAUCCUUUACAGGCGAUAUUUUGAGAGGUGGGUGGAAGCAAUUGAUCAAGCUGUUCCGUUCCAUGAAUGCAGGAGGAAAUAGUGGGCGGUGGAGGAUCAGGAAGACUCAUUCUAUCAUCACCGCCGCCUCCAAAUCCUGUGGCCGUCGGCGCGGCCACUUGCUGGCGUCCACGUGAGAGUUCACCCAACGACUCGUCUACCUUCCACCAUUCCCCGUCGCAAUCUGGAAAGCUAGAGGGGAAGGUCUUUCCUGUGGCCGGCCCGCUGGCCAAGAUUCCCGUCUCUCUCCUCCAUUAGUUCCCGCCGGUGGAGUAAGCUCUCCUCUCUCUCUCUCGCUAACUAUCUAACUAUCUCUCUCUCUCUCUCUAUCUAACUCUCUCUCUCUCUCUCUAACUAUCUAUCUAUCUCUCGGAGACCUGCUGCCGACGGUGGACGAUCUGCAGAGGAGAGAAGAGGGAGGGAGAGAGAGAGAGGAGAAAGAGAGAGGCGGACGUCGGAGGGGAGAUGGCGGCGGGGAGGAUUGCCGUAGCUUCGGCGGCGGAGGACGACAGGGACACUGUUGGCCCGUACUUCCUCCUGGAGAGGGAGGCGGGAACCUCGGGGUCAUCGGAUCUAGACGACGGCGGCGGCGACGGCGACAGCUCCCGCCUGAGCCAGCUCGGAUACAAGCAGGAGCUCGGUCGCAGACUCUCGUAAGUCCCCCAAUCUCCCGCGGACCUGCCUGAGCUGACUGGAUCAUCCUACCCCUUGGCUGAAAUCCGGCCUCAAAUCCUGUAGGAGCUGACCGAUCUUCCCUUCCGGCAUGUAGAUUAUCAUCCUUCAUGUUUUUUUCACCUGAGAAGCAUGAUCAAAGUAACCGGUAAAUAAGCUGGGAUUAUCGAUAAAAAAAUCAACCCACAAUGACAGGUGAUGAGGAUUUCCAUUGAAAACUGUAAAAAAGUCGGCUGAUUCGCCGACUGGUUUUUAGUCUUCGGAUCAAUUUUUCUGCAGGGACAUCAUCAAGGAUCGCACUUGAAACGUCGAUAUCCCAUUAUUUUCAUGCGGGAUAUCUGACUUUUUUUUUGCCAUCGCGACGGAGCUUCAUUCUCGCUCGUCUCCGAUUGGUUCCGACUUUUUUGACGCUGGGUCAACCCCACCCACCUCUUUUUCUUCCCAUGAUCAAUCAUCCUGGCCUUGCUCCACAGGGCAAUCUCCAACUUUGCAGUCACCUUCACCAUCGUCUCCGUCAUCACCGGGAUCACCACCACCUACGGCACCGGCCUGGAAUUCGGAGGCCCGUUGACCAUGGUCUACGGAUGGCCGGUCGUCGGCCUCUUCACGCUCGUGGUGGGCUGCUCCAUGGCGGAGAUCUGCUCCUCCUACCCGACCUCCGGGGGUCUCUACUACUGGAGCGCCAAGCUAUGCGGCAAUGAGUGGAGCCCCUUUGCGUCCUGGAUCACCGGAUGGUAACAAGUCAACCACUUUCUCGCUAAGAUCUAAUUAUUAAUUAUGACAUCUUAUUCAUCAAUUUUAUAUAUUUAUUUAUGCAUGGGUGACAAGUUGAUUAGUGCAAAAAAAUAGAAACCCAGCUGGAUUAGACUUGCAUAAUUUGACUUUUGCGAUUAGGAUUGAUCCCCACUGACAAAACCAUUAGAAAAAAAAAUUAUCAUUAAGAACACGCUUUGAAAGAGCUGACAGAGAAGUUUCUAAGAUCAUGAGCUUAGCAUUGGCUCAUCAUGUUUGAAACCUAAUGUUGUCUCGGUCAAGGUAAGGAAUAGAGCUGCUGUUGAGUUUUUAUAUCUAAGACCUCCAUUUAAAAAUAAAAUAUUUGAAAAAAAUGGCACGUGUCCAAUAAAUUUUCUAAGAUUAGAAAAUUUAGUAUCUAUACUCAUGCUUCCAAAGCCACGCUCCAUGCCUUCCGUUGGUGGUGGUGGUGGUCCAUUCUGCUUGCAAAUAUGGCUUCACACUCAUGACGUUGACAUCCCCCGACUACUGCAUAAUAAUUAUUCAAAAAAAUCCGUCUUUUUCAAUGCUUGGCUGAGUAGAGCAUGAGACCGGUUGACUUUGUUUCAAUUACUUUGAGGUGACUCUUGACCGAUGCAACUUGAUCUGACCCAGAUGCAACAUUUUCUUGGGAAAAUUUAUUCCUGACUUGAUGAGUUUAAGACUCAGACAAUCCAUCGUCGUUGACCGAGGGGAUUGAAUGCUUUAAGAUCAUAAGCAAGGUUUUCACAGUAAAAAGCCCGAAGUUUGUGGGUAUUCUUUGUAUGUCCCUUUUUAAGCACAAUUACACAUUAGUCCUGUUAGAGUCACACAUUAAAUAUCUUGGCCUGAUUUCAUUCGUUUCAAGGAGUACGGCUUCCUUCGUAGGUUGGGCUUUCACCGCGUGAAUCUCAUGGAGGGAAAUUUCCUUGAAGAGAUGAAGUACAAAUAUAUUUUAAUUGGGAGUAAAAAUGUAUUUUUUGUCUAAGAAGAGGAUUAGACAUAAAAUCUGCCCGGGUGGCUUCGUUGGACUAUAGUGCCGCGAGAGGCGUUAUCUGCACGUAGGAGCCAGCUAUUGGCCAGGUGUGGAUCCCAUUGGCAGUAAAACUCUUACAUUCUCUGAAUUUGAAUAUUACCCCGCUAAGCCCGAUCCAGUUAUAUGGAAUGGAUAGUAAAGAUAGAAAAAUGCUUUUCCUAGGGGGGUUUCUGAAAGAUAGCCCAUGCGUCCGUUAGAGGGACCAGUCGUCGGGUGAUCUUCUUCCUGGUUUUUGCUUCAACCGUUGCGGUGGCGGUGGGAAGAUUCGCCGCCAUUAAAGUGGCGGGGUCCUUGAGUUGUCUCUCUCUCUCCUCCAGGUGCUAAUGGAGGAAAAGCUCUCUCUUGGACUUGCUCGCCGCCGGAAAAUGGGUCCUCCCGUUGCUCCUCCGCUCCGUCUGAAACCUCGUACCUCCGGCCGGCGAGAAGUCCGCCGGCGAUGGCCCAGGACGGGGGAGUCGCCGGCGGUACCCUCCGGGGAAGAAAGGAGGAAGAAAAACGGAGACCCGGGGCUUGUCUUUUCUUCGGAAGUCCACGGCGGCGCUAGGGAUGAUCUGAACGCGGAGAAAUUCCUCCAAGAUCCCUCCAACCUGUAGUCCAAGAUCCCACGCGAUAUGUCGCAAGGCCUGCAAUUCGGGAAAAAAAAAAGAGUUGGUAGAGGAGAAAUCUAGUCUGGACGGGAUAACAUCCAUUUGUAGCAGACAGCAGUAGAGAGAGAGAGAGAGAGCGAGAGAGAGAGAGAGGAGAGAGAGAGAGAGAGAGAGAGAGAGAGAGAGAGAGAGAGAGAGAGAGAGAGAGAGANNNNNNNNNNNNNNNNNNNNNNNNNNNNNNNNNNNNNNNNNNNNNNNNNNNNNNNNNNNNNNNNNNNNNNNNNNNNNNNNNNNNNNNNNNNNNNNNNNNNNNNNNNNNNNNNNNNNNNNNNNNNNNNNNNNNNNNNNNNNNNNNNNNNNNNNNNNAGAGAGAGAGAGAGAGAGAGAGAGAGAGAGAGAGAGAGAGAGAGAGAGAGAGAGAGAAGUGAGGGAAAAAUGUAUGGUAGGGGGAGGAGGAGAGUGGCUCACCCCGGGUCAACGGAGCCGUCACUGUUCUGGGAGUGGACGGAAUCUACCCAUAAUAAUUAAUACUCGUUGCAUGAACGAACCUAUAGCAUUAGGCCAGCCUUCCUGCUCGGGAGGAGAGAUAAAGGUUGUUCCUUCUCCUUCGCCCUCCAGCGAACUGCUCGCAGAUGGCUCGGAAGAGGGAAGAAUCCGGCCCCCCAAUCAGGGUUCACGAUGAAGACGCUUCCGGCGUGGACUCCGGCCACGCCCGCCUCCACGAGCUCGGCUACAAGCAAGAACUCAAGCGAGAUCUCUCGUAAAACCUUCAAGCCAGAGCUCUGCCUCCCAUUUCGCUAUCUUCUCUGUGGGUUCCUCGAUCUGAAUCGCGGGCAUAUAUAUAUAUCUCCGCUGUGGGUGUGGCUUGCAGGGUGCUCUCGAACUUUGCCUUCUCCUUCUCCAUCAUCUCCGUGCUCACCGGGGUGACCACGCUCUACAACACAGGGCUCAAGUAUGGGGGCCCGCUGACCAUGGUGUACGGGUGGCUAGUGGCCGGGUUAUUCACCAUGACCGUCGGCGCCUCCAUGGCGGAGAUAUGCUCCUCCUACCCGACCUCCGGGGGCCUCUAUUACUGGAGCGCCAGGCUCUCGGGCAAGGAGUGGGCACCUUUUGCUUCGUGGCUCACAGGAUGGUAUGGCCUCCUUCUCCGGCCCGUCAUCGGAUUAGGAUGCAGGCGAGGGAUAGAACUUGCUUUCCAAUGAUGGGUUUUCAUCAAUUUGGCAGCCUCGUCCUCCUGUCACUUCCAUUUCUUCUGGUGGGCAAUUCACCCAUCGUUUAUAAUUCCAAGCUAUGCCCUGUGAUGAAAAUAUAAAAGAUCUCGCCAGGUCAUAGCUGCCUUCUCUCUGUCAAAAUAAACCCAUGUUAUGAAUGAGGUUUAAAUCAUGAGAUUUUAGUGGAGAUCUCAGUACACUAAACCACCUGAUUUUGAGCUUCAUCUGCAUGAACUCUCAGAGUUUCUUGCCCUUUUUCCAGCAAGAUUAAGCUCCUUUAUCUUGUGGAGUGAACCAUUCUUGUCACCCUGUUUUAACUCGGUUCCUUGGUUGAUUCCAUUGCAGGUUCAACAUCGUCGGCCAGGUACUCAUACAAGCAAAAGAUCUCAGGGAGACAUCCAUUUUACAGAUUCUUAUCCCUUCUGCCUCAGUCUGGCCAGUGAAGAGUCGUUCUUUUGCAGUGGGCUGUCACCACCAGCAUAGAUUUUUCCCUGGCGCAGCUGCUCCAAGUGAUCAUCUUGCUCAGCACUGGCGGCAACAAUGGAGGGGGAUAUCUCGCCUCAAAAAACGUGGUCAUUUGCUUCCAUGCAGGGAUCCUUUUCAGCCAUGCGAUGCUGAAUAGCCUCUCCAUCACAUGGUUAUCCUUAUUUGGGCAAUUCGCCGCCGCAUGGAAUAUCAUGGGUAAUAAUUUUAAAAAUUCAAAGGGAUUCCUUUAAACGGUUAUUACGCAGGAGGAGGAUCAUACGGUGAGCUCAGCCUGUUCGCACUCCUUUCAGGUGUCUUCGUACUCAUGAUCCUGAUACCCUUGGUUGCGACCCAGAAAGCCAGUGCUGAGUUCGUCUUUACACAUUUUAAUACGGAUAAUGAUGCUGGAAUCCAGAGCAAGCUGUACAUAUUUGUUCUAGGCCUGUUGAUGAGCCAGUACACGUUGACUGGAUAUGAUGCAUCCGCUCACAUGGUAAGCCAGAGAUUCUUCCUUGCGAGUCUUGGAUGCCACCACUACAAAUCUUCUUCCAUUUGUUUUAUUUUUUUAUUUUUUUAAAAGCUUGAAACUGUGAUUGGGUCCUCAAAGUGAGGCGCUUUUGAACCACGCUGGAUCUGACCCUGCCAAUCUAUUCUUGCUGUUCAUGAUCUGUGUUUCUAACUGCUCAAGGAAAAUCAAAAUUCAUUUGAGCCCUUUCACCUUGUGGCUCCAUUCUUGCUGUUCAUGAUCAGUGUUUUUAAUUGUUGAAGGGGAGAUCAGUUUUCACAUGAUCCUCUCAUCUUGUUCGUUCUAUUCUUGUAGUUCCCGAUCUGUGUUUUUUUAAUUAUUAGAGGAGAAAUUAAAUUUAAUGCGCGUCUUCUCAAUCAUCGGUUCUUGUUCUUGUUCACUUGAAACUUUCUCCUAUCAGACGGAAGAAACCAAGAAUGCAGACAAGAACGGGCCGAAAGGCAUUAUCAGUGCCAUUGGGAUUUCUAUAGUCGUCGGGUGGGCUUACCUGAUCGGGAUCACAUUUGCCGUGACCGACAUUCCAUACCUACUGAGCUCCGACAAUGAUGCUGGAGGCUAUGCGAUCGCCCAGGUGUUCUAUCAGGCAUUCAAGAGUCGAUAUGGCAGUGGAGCUGGGGGGAUUGUGUGCCUGGGAGUCGUCGCAGUGGCCAUUUUCUUCUGUGGCAUGAGCUCAGUGACGAGCAACUCAAGGCAGGCAUUGUUUUUUUUUUUUUCCUAUCAUAGAGUUUCUUCUGUUGUCUUCAAUUUAUUUUUCUUGUGUUGUUUUAUUUUCCAUCAUACAGUAUGCAGAUUUUAUUUUCUUUUUUAACUUUUUUUCGAUCUGUAGAAAUAAGUCAAAUGAUGGAUAAGCCCGCCUAUUUUUCAAAAUUUUCAUAGAAGCUCCUCAACAAUUGCACAACACCUGCUUUGGCAGUAAGCUCAGCGACGACCAGCUCAUGGUGGAUAGUUUUCCUCUCAAUGGUUUUUCUUAUUUUUUUGUUUUUACGGUCUGUAUUCAGCUCCACAGCCCGUUGACUAUUGGUUUUUUGGGUUUUUGGUCCUAGAAAUAAGUAAAAUAAUGAAAAAUUCCAUCCAUUUUCAAACUUUGCCCGGAAGUCCUUCAUUGACCUCCAAAACCCUUAACUUAGUAUAUAUUUUUGUGUGAUGAGCAACUCAAGGUAGUGGGUCCUUCCGAUUUCUCAAUUUACUCUGUCGUCUGCAUUCCUUGCUUACCAGCCCAUUCGGCACCGCAGUCACUAGAUUUUUUUGGGUAUUUUGGUUUUAGGUCAGUAGUAAUAAGAUCAAUGACGGAUAAGCCCAUCUGUUCUUCAAGUUUAGUUCUACCUUUGUGCUCUCUUCGCCGCUCACUGGCUUCUGUUCUGGCUUCAGGAUGGUGUACGCGUUUUCUAGAGAUGGAGCUAUGCCGCUGUCGUCGAUCUGGCACAAGGUCAACCGGCAUGAAGUCCCCAUCAAUGCUGUUUGGCUCUCUGCGUUUAUAUCGUUUGCAAUGGCGUUGACGGUAAUCUGACCUUCAUUUAUUUUUCUCUCAAUCUUUUCGGAUAUAAUUGGCGCAAAGAUUUUGACUUUGAUACUCAAAAAGCUGUUUUUAAUGAUAUAUCAUAAUAUUGGGUUUGAAUUGUUGUGAGCCCUGAAAAAUCUGGAAACACAAUCAUUUUUCUUGUUUUUCUGAUAUCAUAUUGGGAUCAAACCCACUGAUCCAGGGUCUGGCUAGGAGGUGGAGAAGGGGAACCCUGAGCUCCUGGUUGAAAAUAUUUUUAUUGAGCCGCAGAUAAUCUGAGAUCAUAAUCUUCGUAUUUAUUCUUUUUUUAUUUUAUUUCCCCUGAAGUCAUGAGUCAUAUCAAUGGCAAAAGUUUGUGGGUGCCAGGCCAUUCCUAAGGAAAUUAGAUGAUGAUCACUUUGAACUUUGGGUAGAACAUAUUGUAAAAAAAAAAUUGAUUUUCUUUUUUUUCUACGACUUCCGUUUCAGAUCAGGUCAGAGUCUGCUACCCACAGCUCAUUAGACUUUUCAUGAACCAAACCCCUUGGAAAAUAAUAAUAAAUAUAUUGUUAGAAUAUUAAAAACUUUAGCUUUGAGGCUCUGAUCCUAAUUCCUUCAUGGGGUAUGGAAAUGGUGGAAAGAUUGGUGACGGAAAUGGUGAUGAACCCAUCAGAGUCUUCAUCCUAUUUCCCGUCAUGUGGGCAUAAGAGGGUGAUGCUAGAAAUGUGCGGCUGGUUCUUGUUUUUAUUUUACAGAAAAUAAAAGGAAUUUUUACUUUUAUCUUGGUUCUUCCUCUUCUUCAUUAACAUAUUCAUCGAUCAUCAUCAUAAUCAUCAUCAUCAUCAUCAUCAUCAUCAUCAUCAUCGCCAUCAUCUUCUUCGUGGUGCAGUCCCUCGGGAGCCUGGUGGCCUUCCAGGCGAUGGUCUCCAUAGCGACGAUCGGCCUCUACAUCGCCUACGCGCUGCCCAUCUUCUUCCGGGUGACGCUGGCGCGCAAGUCCUUCGUGCCGGGGCCCUUCAACCUCGGCCACUGGGGGGAGGCGGUGGGCUGGACGGCCGUCCUCUGGGUCUCCACCAUCACCGUCCUCUUCUCCCUCCCCGUCGCCUACCCCGUCACCGCCGACACCCUCAACUACACCCCCGUCGCCGUCGGCGGCCUCCUCACCAUCGUCGUCUUCUGGUGGGUCCUCUCCGCCCGCCACUGGUUCAGAGGCCCCGUCACCAACCUCGAGCUCCAGCCGUAGGAGCUUCGUCUCCCUCCCUCCCCUCCAUUCUCUUCUCUGUGUCUCUGGUUUUCACUCUUCUCUCUCGUCCUUCUAUUCUAAGCUUCGGUCAAUGCGAAGCUCCUCCGGUAUCUGUAAUGGAAGCGUAGAUGGGAAUGGAUCGGUGGGUUUCCUUCUCUCUUCCUCCGUUCUUCCUCUUCCAAGAUUCUAGUGAGAGAUGAGCGAGCAUCAGGGGUGAAUCCGCCGCAUCGGAAGAGCUCCAACGUGGGUAUGUCUCAAUAUAAUCAAAGUUUUCAUCUUUCUCUCUCUUGAUGAAGAGAGAGAAGUGGGUUAUAUACAGGAAUCUCAGAAGGGUAGGGCCCGGUGGCGGGGUCUGUACAGUUUCAGAGCCUCUUUCGGGUAAGAGAUCGGUGGUUGUGCCAUGUCCAGAGGGCGAGAAACACGGCGAGGGAGGCCCCCAUGGAGGCCCAGAGGACGAUCAGCCACUGCGGCAUGGGAUCGGGGAAGAGACCUGCCGCAGGCAGCACCAUCAACAAGGGCAGCGGGUCAGCUCAUCAGGCCACCACGGAGCCGCUGCAAACGGAGAAGAACAGCUCAGGACCGGAGCUCUCACCUCUUCCAAACUUGACGCAGAUGAGGAGCUCCACUAUGCAAAUGGCCAGCGACAGCCAGCAGAACGCCCCCAGCUUCUUCAAUGGCUUGCUGAAACACCCACAAAUCAGCUAGAGGGAGAUGGCGAGAGAGUUAGAGAGAGAGAGAGGGAGAGUUAGAGAGAGAGGAUGAUUGCCUGUCUUGGAGAUAGCUGUUGUAUUCGCGGAUGGCGGGGACGGCGAUGAGCCACCAGAGGAUCAGCCUGUAGGUGAUCAGGGGGUUGCGGGGAGGAACCCAGAGGCAGAACUUGAGGAAGAAGGUGUUGAGCUCCACCGUCAUGAAGACGACGCAGAGGCUCAGGACCUGGACGAACCUCCACGGCCCCAGGAGAGGGCGCCACUGGUCCUUGUCCCACUGGGCCGGCGUGAACUGGCUCAGCGUCCGCUUAACCUUCAAAGCCAGCAAAGCAAAUCCAAGAUGAUCCGGAAGCACAGGCUCAGAAGCAGAAGGCACAGAGGUUCUUGAAUCCGCGCCCUUGAAAAUACUUGAAGAAAUAAAUCUCAUCGUGGGUGAUGAUGGUAAUGAUGAUAAUGAUGAUAAUGAUGAUGAUGGGCUACUGCCAAUGACUGUAUUUCAAUUGGCGGCGUUGACUAAACUGGAAACCUGGGGAUAAACCAUCUCCAGACUCAUAAUCUUGAGGAUGGGAUCAUCAACUAGUAAACCUCCGGCAGGUGAAGGAGAUCUCUGCAUCAACCCAUUUGGCAUCACAGAACUAAGCUAUGGAUCGACAACAGUUUUGCUGAAGUCCCAGUUUUCCUCAACGGGAAAAAAACCAAAAAAAAAAAAUCAAAUGGAAUGAUAUGCUGCCAGCGAGCCUCAGGCCCACUACUUCUGACGCUCACAGAAGGGAGUCCUGGCGGUCUCCAAGCAUUGAACAGUGGGCAUGCAGAGAAUCGCCGGCGCUGUGAAGGGAACAAGGAUUACCUUCAGAAGAGAGACUGCAUUCUUGUCUCUCCAACUGACGCGGGGGGUCUCUGCAAGGCUCAUGGGUUCAGGAAAGGGAGGCAGAUGCUGCACAGAUGGCUUUCUGGCAUCGUAGAGGAGGUUUUGGAGCAACGCAGGCGUCUCCCUCUGCAGGCAGAGCAACUCCUCGCGCAGGCUUUCCAGACUAUGUUUGAUGAGCUGCAGCCUUUUGUCGUGCUUCUGAAGAAAAAUGGUUUGCCCUCUAUCAGUAAGCUUGGACACCAUGACGACAGAAGAUUAACAGGACGACAGCCCACUGUGUUGUAAAGGGGGCUACAGAGAGGUGGGGUGGACAUGGCAACCUAGAAGAAGGUCAGAAAUGAGAUGGAUGAUCAGGGGGGAUUGGGAAUGGCGGGUCAUGGUGAAAGAAAGGAAAAAAGAAGAGGGCAGGGCAGGAGUCUGAGAAAAAGCAUGAUUUCAACGAGAUCCGCCUGAAAUUCAGCGGUUCAUCAUCUCCUUCAAAGUAUAAUUUGAGCGCAGUUCCUGGAGCUUUCACAGAAUGAAAAUCCCACAAGAACACUCAACUAGAUCGAAUUCCGCUACCUCAUUCCUUUUACAUGGGUAGAACAGAAGAAAAACCUCGAUUGAGUGUAGAAUCUAAACCAGCAGCUACCCCAAGGGCUUCCCAUAACGUUUUAGACUUGGUACAAAGAAAACCAUUGACCAUCAAAGUGGUCGAGAUGGUGAUGAACACUGGGUAUCAGAGAGCAACCAAAAUUUAUCAAAAUUCUUCGUCUCAACUGUAAGUUUUUGAGUCCCAAGGAUGAUUGACUUCGAAAAAAUAGAAACAAGAAUUUCCUAAAUGGUUUAUAAUUGCUCACGCUUACUUCAAAACUGUUCUCCAAUGUUCUAUUUUUAUAAAAAAAUACACCCUAAAAAAAUGAUUUGUUUAACUUUCCAUCUUGAUAGUCACAAGACGUUAUACAAAUACUGCUUCUAUAGUUUCUUUUGACAGGGAAGAUAGCCUGUGAUUUGUCAUGUCGCUUGUUACCCAGAAGUAAGAAUUUCAAAGGUUUAACUUAGGAAAAAAUCAUUCUACUGUUAAUGUCAGUAUUAUGAAUUAUGUAGUUCUCUUAAGGAAAUUCAACAAGAAAAUUAAUAAUGGCGGUGAACCACGGGGGGAUGGUAGUCCACCAGUCGAAAUAGAUCACAAAGAGGGAGAAGAAAAAGCCCAGAAGGGCACUUUAAAGAUCACCAACAUAAUUUAGGACACAGAAUUCUUGUACCUGGAAAUAAUUUGUUCUCGGAAGACUGAAGGUGCACUGCCACAAAAAUUGUGCGCCGUUUAAACAAUAAAAUACUCACUAUUCUUUUCCUUCGAUAGUUUCAGACAAGAAAUACUCAAUGGAUUAUUUUAUAACAUGAGAAAAAUUUUCACAUUAUUCAUCUAAAGUACUACCCACUUGGAGAGUCAAACUUUUCAUCUACGUAAAAUUCUAGUGGACUUUUGUUUAUCAGCACCUUGGGUUUGUCAAUAAUUUCCAUAUGGGAGACUUUGCUUUUGUUAUAUGAAGCACAACAUUGACAAGCCAAUAGAGAGUCGGUUAAUUGUUAAUCUAUCGAUGUUAAUAAGCUUCAAUUACAUUAACCACAAAGUUUCAUUACAUAUUGAGUAAAACUAGUCGGCCACAUUAACAAAAUAGAAAGCAUAACGGUCCUUAAAAAAUGAAAAACGUAGAGCUGGCGAGUCAACCACUGCAUUGGCUGACUUGAUGGGGGAUAGAAACCAGCCACGGCACUUUUUAAUGCUCUAGACAUGACAAUGCUCUGAAGUAAAAUAAAUCUCUACAAUGUACUUGCAUCCACAAGUACACACAAAGCUAGGAAUGUGAGCGUCUAAACUAAACAAAUAUGUCAAAAUAAUGGAUGACGAAAUAGGAUGUGCAUACACUCAUACGCGCACAAACACACACACACGCACAUGCUUCUAAAUGCAAGAGUGAUAAAGGACGCCUGAGACUGAUAGAGAAGUUGGCUAUUUGUUCCAGAAUCUCAAAUCUGGGUGUAAGAUAUAAGUAUGGACAAUCUUUCUGCCAAACAUUUUCUUCUGCAAAGCACGGAAUCUGGCCAACAGGAUGUAUUUUCAGUAGUAUAAACAUCUAGCAUCAUCACUACUGGAAGCUAGAACUAUUAGUUACCAAAAAUGAGAGUUUGGGUUGGUCAGACGAGUUGAAGAUAAGCUUGUAGAGGAGAAGAUGGACAACAACAAGAAAGGCCAAUAUCAAAUGUGACGUUUACUAAGACAUACCUUACCAAAGAUGUUUGGUUGGCGGCUUAUACCAACCCAUUCAUAUGUUUUUCCAUCAAAAUAACGAACUGUACGCAUCCCAGCCCAUAUACCUAUGGACAUAAAAAAAGGAGCAUACAUACAAGAGUGAGACGCAGAAAAAACGCCUUAAAUGACAGUUUCAUCGUACGAUGUUAUAGAAACAAAACUCAUAACUUUGUUAGUACCUACAGGCAAGUCCGUAUAUCACGGUUCAGAUAUCUAAAAUUUCAUUUGAUUCACUUUGAAUAAGAUGUAGCUGAACUAAUUUUAAACCGGCUGAGACUUCUAUUUAUGAUUUUCAAACUCAAGAAAAAUACCUACACUUCACCGAUUAGAAUCAACAGUUUCACCAGAUCGCGGAUUUAAGAAAUGAUAAAAAUAGAUAAAUAUCUAUUUUCAAAGAUGAGAAGACAUACUCGUGGUUUCAAAAUUUCGGGUCGGACAGUAUACUCUUUAAUAACGAUGAGUUUCAUUAUUUUUUAAACUGUUCAGUUUUCAUACAACUUAUUAGAUUGUAGGUAUUUUUGUAUAGUCAUAAGCUUUGCUUAAUUUUCUUUUUUCUCUUCUUCAUUUACUACCAACUAUUUAUUCUUCCUUCUCACAUUGCCCUCCUCGAAACCUGUCCAACCAGACGCCAGUAUGCUAGGAAAAUUACAAACAGAAAGAUGAAACAGUAUUAAUGUUCGUUCAUAGAAAAUUUAUUGAUGAAAUAUUUUUUUUGCAUGGUUUAUAAAUGUUUCAGAUAUGUAGGAUGGGUGAAAUUUCAUCCCACAUUUGACUAUGUUUAAAUUCCAUGGGAUAAGAAAAAAUUUCGAUUAAAUAGAAUCUUUUUAGAAUACAGACUCCAAAAAAGUCUACUUAUUAUAUUUCAUAUUGAAAGUUUCUGAUUCUAAUAAUUUUAAAGACAAGUUACGAAAUACAACACAAUCAACCCCAUUGAACACGGACGAAGGGGGGUGACCAACAACAUGAUGAUACUAAUGACAGUGAUGAAGCUUGGAUUUCUUAAAAUAUGAUUCUUUUCCAUCAAAAAAAUUAAUAUUUAACUUUCUACAAAUUCAUUUCCUGAGACAUCUAUAGCAUCUAAACAUUUAGCAUGGUCCAAGGUCAGAAGCCUGAGCUAGCCCAAUCCUGCCUGGUUUGGACUGACCUUUUGCAUAUAUAAAAUUUAAUGGCCAAACUCAAGAAAAUUGAACAUUGAGCUAGCCCAAGAAAAAGUUUAUGAUCAAACUCAAGAUUCGGUAAACCUGACAAUAAAUCUAACACCCUGUCGGAACUAAAUUCCUAAUCCCAAAAUGUUUUUCAGUCCAGUGUAGCCGUGAAACCUUAUGGUCCAUCAUGUUUCGUUCUCAGGUAUCAUAGGCUGUGAGAGUUUUUGUGUUGCUCCAUUCCUAACACCAGGAAACUGUGGCCUAGCCUCAACCGCUUUUUCCCUUCUAGAAAGUCAUAAACUUUUGACUAUCUUCUUUCAUCUUGACAGCCCAGUCCCAGCUACCACACCAUUUUCGUCCAUCCUCAGAUAUAGCAGACCCAACUACAGCCCCCUCUUCCCUCCAUAAUCAUUGCACCUUUUCAUCCAUGGGCUUCAUAACUCUUGGAGAAAGCUUCAUCAAUUUUUUAUUGCCAGAACAAACGAAAAAUAGGGAUUGCAAAUUGAAGCAAGAUAUCCAGGCCAGACCAGGUCAGGCUCUGCUUUAUCCGAAGAAAAUGGCCAAUUGCAGGUCACAAGGUUUUUGCAUCAGGGCUCAGCCCAUUGGCAUCGCUAUCUAUUAUAACUUCCGCAAUCUUCCACAGUUAAUUUCAUAAGCACCAAAAUUGGGACUGAAAGUCUUCCCGCACAUAUUUUCAAAUGAAGUUGCAUAUUUAGCCUUCUUAAGAAUGAAUUUUAUCCAUAAACUGUUAUCAAAAUAAAGGGUUUCAUUAAGUGUAAUUCACAUAACACCUCAGUAACCCCAGAUAAGCAUGAUAAAAGUUCUCCAACUACACAGUUUGUUCUCAGUGAAUAAUGAUGAUAUAAAGUGUAUUUCACAAAUAUUGUUCGACCAUUGUGUUUUUCUGCAUGGAUCAUGAUGGACAGUCUGGGAUAAUUGUUGACGGAUAUACUGUUCACGGAAAUGCCAUUAAAAGUUGAGAAAUCAUAGGAUAAUAUAGUAUUUCUAUUACAUACAUCCCUUGGCCUCAGUAACAACAGUAAUCCAUAACAUAUGGUCACUAUUAAAAAAUAGCAUACGAUUAAAAAUAUUUAAAUCAUGCAUAACAUUGUAAGUGGUAGCCAGUGAUCUUUAUAGAGUAUUUUAACCAAGGCUAAAAAAACCUACAAUAUGUUAGAAAGUGUUCAUUAUUGUGGAAAAUCUUAGGAUGAUUCUAGA